UUUCUCCUCUUCUUCCGCCCACCGAUCGACCGACUCUCCAGUGUGUUCUUUUUCCCAAUAAAUGAAAUCUUCUCGAAAAGGCGGCUUUUGUAGCUUGCCUAGAAGCCCAGUGGAGCUCAAUUUGGUAUGAUCAUUACUAGAGCUUGGGAGAAAUCCGUUCAUAGAUGGAGGAAUGCAACUGAAGUGAAUGGUGUCUCUUCAGAAACCCCCGAGCCCUUUCUUUCCGUUUGGUUCGCAGCUCCGUCACCUGUGUUUCCCUGGAGCAGCGCUUCUUUCCGGUGCUCCGAUGCUCUCGGCUUUGGUAUGGUUCCUCUUUAAUACUUAACAAAUUGCAUGAAUUAUCUGCCUUGCCUUAUUUCUAGCUGUUGAAUGGAGUAAUCUGGGAAGGGAUCUUUUGCCAAUUCCUGUUAGUGUAGCGAAGCCUUCCAAUAUGGGGCAUACGAGUCAGGGGAUAAACGCUUCAUUAGCACUUUCGGCUUUCUCCUUUCUUUGGUUACUACGGAUUCACUUCUUUCGUAGGGCGGUAGCAAAGGCAGAAUAGUCGUACCCGGGAAUCCACUUCCUUGGCUUGAUAGGAAACCUAUCGACCUUUCGGCUUUCUAGUACAACAUCCACUCGUUCUUCACUCGCUAGGGAAGAGAUCGAUUACUCGCUUAGAUAUCGCUACUCUAGUCUGAGUAGGAGUUCCCAUCCAUAAUCUCCGUGGAGGCCUCGUUUUACCUUCCAAUUACGGUUGAUCCUUCGGAAAGAACUAUACUUCACUUUCCUCCAUUAGAUUCGGCAACAAAGGACGAGAUUCCCAUAGGCUUUUAUGUCCCGAUCUCUUUAAUAAGGUCGCCCGGGCUCUUCACCGUAGAACCUUUACCCGAAAAACUGGAGCACUGCUAUACUUUCAUUGCUUUCACUAGAACCCUUUCAUUGCUUUCACUAGAACCAGAGUGUUAGGGGCACGUGUUUAGCCCGAGCUCUUCCUUUGUGUCCCUCCUAGCGAACCGAACGGGGAAAGCUUUUCCCUCACUCGCAUUCGCCUAAUCGAGCAGAAGGCCAGGCAACUCGCCGAUCAUCCUCAAACUGGUCCCGCCUAUAGUUAAUAGUGUCGAACACACAUAAGUAUAGGUUUUGUUGUCCUUACGACGGUUGUAAAAGACCGUAUCUUUACACUAAAUACUCUGAUAGGGUCGCGAAGUGCAACGCCUCAUAGAACAAUUCCGUAAUGUAUCCAUACGAGCUCCGGCCCUCAGCUGCUCGAAUCAAAAAGAAACUUGUUCAUUUAUGUUACGCGUUGUAGACCUUCAAUGUUUCACCUUUCAUAGAUAUAUAUAGGAAAGGCUUGGUUUGGGAAGUGUAGUUGAGGCUGGGCACGUGCGAUAAGUAAUAAAGAAAGAAAGCAAAGGUAAAUCAUCCUUGGGACCGGCUUUGUUGAGGUCGCGAAAGUAAACAUGCGGACUCAGCCGUCCUUUUUCUGGACAGGAACCAUGUUGGCUAACCAUUGGGGGUAUUCCGUAACUACAAUCAAUCCUGUCUUUAGCUGCUUCUAUACUGACUCUUGGAUUUGGAACGUCCAUUCGGGCCUCAUUCUCUUCUCCUCACGUUUCUGCUUGACUGUCUUGGCUUUCUGUAUCGACUCUCCUCCUUCCUGCUGUCUUGGUUAAUACUUUCGUAGUAGUAUUUGUGCGUGGUUGAUUGAAUAUUGAUUUCCUUGUUCACGUUCUUUGUUCGACUGGACAUCUUAAGUGUGGUGGUAGCUCUAACUACGGAAGUGACAAAUGCGUAAAGGCGAGAUGGAUUGUUUCGUCUUCUCUUUUCGUCGAAGGGCAUUUGGCGAUAGGGAACCCACUUAUAUACUUGGCCGGAGCAUGUUUCGGCGCGUGCUUCUGCCUGUUCACGUUCUCUCACCCACUUUAGACCCUGUUUGGUUUCCGUGAGUUAUCGUUCUAUUUCCUGGAACCUGAGUAGCCAGGUUGCGAGCUCCUCUUUAGAGUUCACUGAGGAUGCCCGCGCAAGGAGUUCGUCAAUACCACUCUUUAGGGAGUCGACCUUCUCGAAUAAGUCCUCUUUGACAUGGUUGACUUAGGAUGGGUCCUUCCCACAAUAGGGAUUGUGUGGCCCCGAAGAGGGACCCGCUGCGCUAGUUUACCCACUCUUUAGGAUCGGAGCCGGUUUCCUCCUCUGUACCAUCACAACAGUAUGAGACGGUAAGGGGAAGAAAAAAGGGUAGCCCAAACCACCAAAGGAGGGAAUUUCGCUCAAAACUAAGAACAAGGAAAGGAGGACUACCACAUAUAGACCCAUUCCCGAGCACGGUCAUUGUCUCUUUCGCUUUUCUACCUUGUUCCGUUGUGUUUGCUACAAUGAAGGCAUAUCGUUUGGUAUUCCAGUAUAUAAAUGAGACUACCUUCUGGGCUUUGUCGAAUCCCUUUGACAAGGAUCCGCCACUUUACGUCUUCGGUUGAGGCCAGAACGCCAUUCCUAGCUGGGCCUUCGCGGCGUCCAGACGAGAGAUAACCUAGUGCAAAAGCCCUGAAACUACCUAAAUAUAUAAUGUAUCACUACACUAAUCUAUUUAUAUCGCUUAGGUGCGCUAAGUUUUCUUGGCUUGGAAAGUCCCUCGGUAACUCCAUUCUUUUUAAGGCCGGUUUAGUUAUCACGGGCGCCAAAGAAAAGAGUAUUGUAUUGCUGCCUUUCUCUUUGCUAGAGAGGUAGUGGGACUGGUUAACAAAAUAUGGAUGCCGGUAAACUUCACUUUGAUGAAAGCUGUGCUCCGUAGCCCGGGCUUACUAGGGUUAUCUAGUCACUGAUUCCAAAGUUAUGAAAUUAUGGUGUCAUUGAAAUGGACCCUCCUAAGCAACCUGUUCACCUAAAAUCCGUUCUCAUAGUGGAGAGAUUCUUUGCCCGAUAGCAGAGAUCUCGCCAAGCAUAGCCCAUUCUAGUUCUAGCACCGGAAGAGCCAUUUCUUAGGAAUCCAAAAUAUCCAAAUAUAAUGAAAGAUAUAUGAAAGGAGAAUUGAGCACUCGUGUUAGCCGAAGCAGUAGGAUAAGACUCAAUAGGCAAUUAUCGUGCGCCAGGGUAAACUUCCAUUGUUGGGAAAGACACACCAUACCUUUGCUCGAACAACCACUUCUUUUGUUCCUACUCCGCGGGUAUAGAAUUCUGUAAAUACCACUGCUUCCCUAUCUUUCUCUUUAGCAUCUGAUCCAGCAUCUUAAACAAGAACAGGAACUGGCCUGCUUGCACCAACAUUUUCAUCCGGGUAACAAUAAGUGGAAUUACAAACAAUAGGCAUAUGAGCGGAUCUCUAUUCUUAACCUCGAACAUCACACCUUGCAGCUUACUUUCGAACAGCAGAUUAUGGAUACCGUGACUUUUCUUUGGCCCUUUCACUAGAGAUUGGAUUUGGCCGACCUCGACUCUAACUCUCAUUGCGCGGCUUCUUAUCUUUGCACCUCUAGUAUAUCCUAUAGUUUACACCUCUAGUAUAUCCUCUUGUAUAUAAGUGUAUAGCUUAACCUCUCAUGAUAUUACCUGCUUAAAUACUCAAUCAACAAGCUUCGCUUCCUUGCCCCAGCACCUACUACUGUAACAGACUUUCGAGCAACACCAUCUAGGGCAGCUUCUUAUCUGUAAACUGGAUACUUAAAGAGCAACUCAAGACCGAUCUCCUAUACAAAGUGACAACAUUCUAUAAUACCUGGCGGGCACUCGACCUCAACUAUGGCUCUGUCAACUAACUACUACUGAGAAAACUGCUGACCUUGUCUCUCUCUCCUCUGGACUAGCUUGCCCCCGAGACUUCUUAUAUAGGCCCGACCUCUCUAGCCCGAACUAAACUUUAUGACCUGACCCGACCUCUCAUAAGUAAGCUGCUUUUCUAGUUUCAUCCCCAACCAGUGGAGUAGUCCAGACUUAAUAGGCCAGGUUCCUUCUUUCAUUCUAGUUUCAUCCCGGCCAAGUCACUAAGGGCCAAGUAAUUACUAUACAAGACACGACUAACCCAAAAGAACUGGAAUUGAGACUUCCUUGUUAACUACUUGAAAGCAGGUAUGAUCUAGCGCAUUACCCUAUGGUUCUCUUGCCCAUGUUUUCUACUUGCAAAUGCAUUCUUUCUAAUCGCCAAGAUGUUUUUCUAAGUAUUUCCCAUAAAACUCCAUUAAGUUGUGAUUUAGUGCAUUUCCUCCUAUCAUCUUUAUGGUUCCAUUCUUUAGGAUUCCCUUGCCCACCGAUACUGUCACUACUGAGGUGUAUUCUUUACUUCACUACUAGAUGCUAUGUACUAGCUGACUAGCUCACCUACUGACUACUUCCAUUCUAACUUUCCUACUUAUGAGAUUCUAGGUCAAUUCUGUAACUCGUUCGGACUCUCUGAUUCUGUGACUACUGAGGUCAAUUCUUUCAUUCACUACAGGUGGUGCACUGUUUCGUUCUUUCCCUACCGGAGUGCCUUAUAGUAAGUUGCCAGAGGGUCAGUCAAUCUUAUAGGCGGAAAUUCAUUAUAAGGACAGUUGAUUAGUUUCAUGGUCAAUUCCCUAGUUAAACCCUUACGUCUACUCUUAUUGCCAGGAAAGCUGGGUUUAGCUACAGCAACUGGUACUUUUACUGGUAGAUCAGCAACUACAAGUCCUGUGUGAGCCUUUCCAGGGUAGUCAAUCCUCGGUAGUAAACAAGUCAGAAUGCAGGUAUCAAACUACUGAUCUCAAGUCUUGUGUUGUUGGCGCAGGGCAAGAAUCUAUUAUAAGGAAAGGACUCUCAAUCAAGUGUGCAAGCCUAUACCUAUCAAUAAGGAAGGUGUUGCUAUAAGUGACCUAUCAAUAAGGAAGGUGUUGCUAUAAGUGAAUCGGGUGUUCCUGCCUAAACUAAAAGAUCCGCAUUAGCAGUAGGAUCCGAAAGAGGGCGAGAAGCAGAGGCUCUUAUUAGUUGUUUCGCUAACGAAGGAUAAGAGUGUCAGUCAAUUCCUGGAGUGGAAAUAGAGAUAGAAGUUCAUACUUGAUAGCCUGUUCCCCGCUCUUUCUCGAACGCGAGUGGAAAUAGAAAUAGAUUAAUUUGUAGUUGACUCGGUGCUUACGGUAUAGUUUCCUUUACCAAGUCCUGUCCCCUUAAGUAAUUGGUUCGUCGACUCAUAUAAUUAUGGUUAGUUGUAGUUAUGACCAAAGAAAGAUCGGAAGCAAGAUCAGGUAAGGAAGCAGUAUGCAGUCAGUCAGCAAACGGGUCUUCAAGGGGCAAGUUCCAUGGAGUCAUUUGUGGAAAGUGGAGUUAUCGUUUCAUUCAAGAGAAAGAGAAGAAUCAAAUAAGAGUGUUGGCUUCCUUACUUUACCAGAGCCUGUAGUUUCUCAUUCCAUUAGAAAUUGAGUAUUUGUAGCCAGAGGUAUGUAUAGGAGCCUCAUUGAGUUAUACAAGUAAGUGAUUAAGUCGUCAGCAGCAAGUAAAGAAGCUAGUUCUUAAUCAAGAAACCAGAUUGAAACUCUACCGUCAGCAGAAGCAACAGGUCUGUAUUUCAGGGAUAGAUCUAUCGCAUUAGUGGCUAAGUGAACUACUCUAUUUGUCGCGCCUAAGCUUGGUUAUACGUGACUUGGCCGGGGACGGUCGAGGAAAUGCAAAUGGGCAGAACUCACUCGCCUUACUUCUUGGGUGCUAACGGAGAAGGAGUGGGGUCUUGAAAAGGGCUCUGGCUCUGUACCAUAGAAUUGGCCCUGCCCAGUACCUUAGAUCAUUCUUUUACAGUUAUAUCAUUCUUUGACAGAUUAUAAUAGUAUCAUUCUUUGACAGAUUAAUAGAAUAAUGGAAUAAUAGUGACUAAGAUUAUAACAGUGACUUGCCUCUCUCUUCUCUGGCUACUCAUACUGAUUCUACUACUUGUCAACUUAAGAAGGGACUUUAGCUAUAGAUUAGGACUUGUUAACAACGCAUAUCUUAUAUUAGUUCCUUGCCUUCUAUGUGUUUGUAGUAGUUCCUUGGCCAAUAUUCCACUCGAACAGGAACAGUACUACUACUACCGGGAUGCAACUAUUAGCCCACCAACCCAGUAUUCUUUAUUGCGCCCACCUCUCAUAACAAUACUUUCGAACUGGAACAGGCAAUUAUUUAGCUUCAUAGCAAAUCUCUCCUUUCAAACUAGAAUCUCUCUUUCCGAUCUAAACUCUCACAGCUGCUGACUUUAGAACAGGAACAGGAGAAGGAUCGGCUCCUAUACUAGUAUACGCUUGGUCCCGUGUUUUUUCAUAGCAAAUGGAGAAAUGACUUUACUUUUAUUCGGAUGGAAGUAAACUCUAUUCUACUCUUUGGACUACUCCUUUCAGGGGCUGUAAACAAGGGCUACUACUAGUUUCGUUGGGGAUUCUACUAACAACUACUGAUGAAACAGGACCACUCUACUACCAGUAUUCAACAAGAACAGGAGUAAGAGCACCCCCAACUUAUUUAUGAGCAUGAGCAACGCGCUUCAAAGCCAGCACCUGAUCUAUAUUCUGUUCCUAUCAGUAAGGGCAAAAACUGGAUUAGUAGUUGAUUGGCCUGUAACUCCGUGUACAUAGUCCAUUCGGAGUCUACUGAGUGGAAUUCUUUCCCUGACUACUUGCAUUCUGACUUUGCUACUUCUGAGGUUGUCUCUUACUGCACUACUGGUUAGUUUCAUUCUGUUGAGUAGUGGCGAACACCUGUUACUACUAAGUUCAAUGUAAAGACUGGUUGGCUGUGGUUGCAUUCUGUGACUUAGGAGUGGAAUUCUGAUCUUAGCAGCUAUAGUAUUGGAUUCACUGGUUGAAGUCUUAAGUAGCUAUAUAAGAUGCCUUGUUGUUACUGGUCUAGAUGCACUUGUUUCGUUCUGUGACUCCCUAGUUCCAUUCCUUAACUCCUUACUUGUGAGUUCCAUUCGGGGGUCUCUAAUUCUGACUUGAACUACUGAGUUGCCCUCUGUUACUGACUAGUUGAAGUUCCAGAGUCCGGAGAAAGUACCAAUUCCUUGAGUUUAAGACCGCUCCCUUAGUGACAGUAUGAUUACUCCUCUUAUGUAUCGAGGUAGACAAUUGUGAUAUAAGAUGAAAUCCUAUCCUACUAACACAUAACUUGAUACUUUACCUCAUCUCUAUCCUACUAAACUACACUGUAAACUUCACCUCGAACAAGAUCUUUUCUUUUCUCUUUACCCUAAAACAGAGGCGCUAUAUGCGCUUCAACACCCACUAACCUGCCCUCGUAUUGUCAUUCUACUAUAGGCUAUAUUAGUUUGAUUGAUAGGCAAUAGGUAGUUAGACUAUAUUAGUUUGAUUGAUAGGCGCAUCUAUUCUACGAGUCACACAGAAACGGCACCAAUUUCUAUCCAAUAUCCAUUAGAUUCUAUAUACCCUACGCGGCACCCACAUCUAUUACAUUAAUUACACCAACUUAUUAUGCCCUCACUAACUAGGCACCGCUAAUAGAUUGAUUCCAUAGACCCACUCAUGCUAGGCAUAGGCAAGAGAACGGAUGUCAAUAAAGAUGGAUUUGAAGAAAUGUACCCAUAUCGAAGUGUUACUAAGAUCUGAUCUAUCAUGAACAAAUGUACCCAUAUCGAAGUGUUACUAAGAUCUAUCAAACCUGGCUAAUGAUCCUCUGGAAACUGAAACUCGCUCGGGAUGAAACGAGAAAUUGCACUCCUCAUAUAAUAAAGAGAAAAGAGAAAACUCGGGGCACUCAAGAAAGAGAAAAGAUGAAACUCGGGGCACUCACUACUACUAAUGCACCUCGGGGCACUCACUACUACUAAACCGAGGAAAACAACAGCAGACUUAACUAUUCCAGCACUCGUUCCUUCCAGCCAAGCAGGUAUUGCAAAUUGUAAGAAACCUUGAACGGGAUCAAGCAAGCCCCCGAAACAAGAGAAACCAGAAAAGAGUUUAUCCCCGACCCGACCGAAGAAGUCUCUACCUUAUCUAACUAACUAAGAUCUUUUCUCUCGACUAAAGUAAGUAAGUAGUAGUUCUGGGUAGCUGAACCCACCAACAAAUAUAGAUGAAACUACUGAGUUGCCCUAUAUGCAGGCCUAGUAACAGACUGAGGGCUUAAGAAUUCCGAAUAACCUAUCUCUCUCCUCGGAUCUAGCCUCUGAUCUUGCUCAUCUAGCUAUGUAAACUAAUACUGUUAUGGCUCUUUGACUACUUACUCCGGGUGUUCCUGUGUUCGUUGGUAAUAUGAGUGGAAUUCAGAGACUUACUGGGGGAAUUGUGACUUUCCCACUAGCUCACCUCUUUACUACUUGCCUACUAGCUCAUCUAGCCUACCAGCUCCACUCUUUGACUACCCUGUUUCAGUCUGAGCCUUCUCCUUGCUAUACCUGUUUCGUUCUGCCAUUGCUGAGUGGAAUUCCGAUCUACCACCCCCGCGGCCUCAGGCUUGCUUGUUAGUGGGUUGGCUCUGAGUGGGCACUGCUUUGAGUCUUGCUCGUCCUAUAGGUCGAUUCUGUAACUACCUGGUUGCAUUCUAAAACUACCUGGGCUAAUUCUGAUCUGUCUUACCGCAACGAAGACAUCUGGUCAUAGGUAUCAUUCUUUCACUGACUUGUUUCAUGCCUUGGCUUACUGAUUGAAUUCUUAGACACCCGAGUUUCAUCCUAUCAGUCAUCCUAUAUAUAGAAUAGUAGUAAUUGAGUAGGGGACAAGCCAACAAAGGUGAUCGAUUGACUACUUGCUUAACACAAGCAUCUGAGCCUAGUAACUUCAUUAAACAAGUAAGUCCACCACCCUAGCAACUUUACAAGAGCUACAGCACCAAACCAAACCUAGCAACUAACUACAAAGCUUGGCCCUUCCCGCUACACCUCUUUCUCUGUCAACUAAGUAUGGGCCUUAUCCCGCUUCGGCAUCUGAUAUGGUUCCUACUCCCACACACUGUACUUGCUCUAGACUAAAGGUAGAGAAGAGAGUUUACUUACCGGUAGUGCACUAAAGAAUAGAGUUUCCUUUUUAAAGCAAAGGCCAGGGCAGGGUAAGAAGGAUCCAACUUUGAAUUGAAGAAUCUCAUAUAGAAUAGAAUUCGUUUCAAUAGCCAGAGAGAUUAGGGAAAACAGGCUUCGUCGGCAACUCGGGAUUCUAAUUAGAUACAAGGGAAAGGUCUUCAACUAGCCAAUCUACUACUACAAAGGCAUAAAUAGAGCAGAGCCAGAUCCCACCAGUAGUAUUAGCUACAGCCCUAAGAAACAGGGUAGUGAAUUCUUCAAGCUUCAAGUAAGGAGCAACCAAGCAACAGUUGCAAGAGGAGUUCAAGGCUUUACCGCUUUACUAUUUAUUUCUGGAACUAGAGCUAGUAUUGAUUCCUAUGAUUUCCUGUUUACAGUGGAGAAUUGCCAGGCCAGUGCUUUUGUUGUAGACGAGCGCAUCCAGUAGUUGACUUAGAAUGAAACCUAUCGGAUACAGAAUGCAAUUCCAAGGAAAGAAACGGGGAAUUCACUAGUGCACAAAUAGACUCAAACAAAUAAUACAAGAUACCGGUCUCUAACUACAAUGCCGAUGGAGCUAGUAUAAGCCUGAAACACUGCACUAACCACUUGAACUUACUUACAGCCGCUACACACGAACAAAGGACUUGGUUAUAACCAUGUUAUAACUACUUAUUGCUAGCUGCCGCUUUUCAGCUCGCUGACGCGACACAUUAGUAGUGUCUUGGCCAGAUCUUCCCAUGCUAUUCUUAUUGUCUGCCUCCCAUCUCUUCCUCUGAUCUUGCUCCACUGAUCUAACUGCUUCCCUUGCAAGACCCAGCAAAUACAGAUGAAAGUCCACCACCCGACCCGAGUUAAGUCUGCCUAGACACCGUAUAAGGCUUGAAACAGAGACCCGAGCUACCCAGCAACAGGCUUGGAUGCAGUGGUUGUAGAAUCAAUACCAAUAGCAACAGUCUGCCCAGCAAUGGUUCAAGCCUAUCGCUACCACUACCAAGUCUAUCACUACCAGCAACCAGCUAUCACUGCCACUACCCGGUAUCAGUCCCAUACUACUACUACACCGCAUCAGCCUGCCACUCCAUAGGUCCAUUCUUAACCUUAUACUCUCUAGUUUGAUCUGUAAUCCUAUAAUAUGAUAUAUAAGGAUUUAGGAGUGGGCCAAGUAUACAAAUAUUCUAGAUUUCUUCUAAGCUUAACACAAGCCACUAAACCCUAGUAAUAGGAAGGAAACAAGUAAUUCCACUCGCCAACCUACCCUGUGCUACCAUUCCUCAAAUCUUACCUUUCUACUCACACUCGAGCAGUCUCUUUGAACUCAGGCUUGGCUCAUUGGUUUCAGAAUUCAUAUCAUCUCUUGCCUCUCCUCUAGCUCUGUCAACAAAUACUUCUUGAAACACUCUUACAGCAGCUGCUCCUCUCCUGUAUCUCAAACAAACCUGUGCCCUUAAUUAAUGCGCCUCUGCUCUGGCUCAUCUCCACUAGCAGCUGUCAACUAAUUCCGUAAUUCCUCCACAGACCUAGACUCUGGCUUGGCUCUGUCAACUCACUACUCCUCUGUAAACUAAUAGAGAUGAGACUACUACAAAUACAGAUGAAACAUGCUCGGCUCUGUCAACUAACCAUACUCUGGCAACUUCCAACUAUUCUCUCCUUCCCGCUUCAAAGCCUCCAACAAGUAAUGACUUUUGUUUAGCGUGAGUAAGGGGCAACUGAUCCAACUCCAUCUGCUUACUUUGGCACUGAAUUACUAACCGACACAAUCACUUCUCGUGCAUAAACUUAAGGUUUCAAAACAGGGAAUGUCCUAAGAAUUCAUUUCAUCUUUUGAUCAGCGAGGGCCAGACUGAAUUUCGAACUCCUUAGACAGGGGAGCUACCAUUUCAUCUUGCUUGUUUGAAAUGAAUCGAAACUAAACGAGAUACUUGACUUUAGCCGGGACUUCUUUCAAGCAGGGUAGCAGCGAUUGACUUCUUUCUUGUGCUUGUAAAGUAUAGGUUCCUUGCGAGCAAGUAAGUCUUAUUCCACUCGGGAUGAAACAAUAAAAGAAAGAGACUCCGCUCAAGCAUCCAAUCUAUCUUGAAACUGGAUACCCUGGUUUGAUUCUAAUUAAAACUCACUGACGCCACAAAGACGGGUAAACUCAGGAAUUGCACUCGCUCACUACUCGCAGGAAUAGAAUGAACCACCUGGCUAUCAGUCAAGCUACUAGUCAAUUCCAUUCUUAUGUGCCAAGUCCUGUGUUCGGUUCCCCUAAUUAAUGCCCUAGAGAUAUGGGUUUCAAAUUCACUAUUUCAUAACUUCUGUAGUUUUAUGUGAAAUGACCUAGGAGGAGAGCAAACCCGCAGGAAAUUGCAUAAAAAGGGGCUUUUAUAGAGCACUUCAUAUAGUAUGUGUUACUUCCUUUAAGAAGAGGGGCCAAGCAGCUACUAGGUUUGAUACUCCAAUAUAAGUAAGGCAACGAGAACGGUCACUUGACAAAGAAUCAGAGGAAGGGGAGUCGGAUAGCCUCUAUAUUGAGUGGAACAGGCGUAGUCAUAGUUUCUUUGGCUCCAAGGUAUCAAACAAAAGAUCUAAAGUAUCAGGACUACUAUUAACAGAAUGGAAUGCGCUACCAAUAUUGCUAGUUGAAGGGCGGAUACAGGACUUGUUCUUAACUCGGGUUUCUUGCUCUAGCGGGGUUUCUUUCUCUAGGCAGGGCAGCUUUAUAGAUGCCUUUGAUGCGAGGUAUCUUCUAGCAAUAACAGUGCUACCGGGACUACAACUACUCUCAUUCAAAAGAACAGAAAUCUACUUGUCACCGGCAAGCUACUACACUUUCAUAACUGACCUCCACUUGGACCACAACCCGCUGAAGUGGAACUAAUCCAGAAUUAACACCUAUGUAUCUGUAACUACCUAUGUAUCUGUAACUACCUAUGUAUCUGUAACUAAUACUGUAAGUACUACUGCCCUACCACACCCCUGUGACUUUAUACUUCACCUAAGCAUUCGAUUAGCAUUUUGAUUACUUAUACGAGAACAAAGGUCAAGCGCAAAGAACAGAACGGGAAAUCUACUUCAAGAGAUACCUUUGAGCGUAAGCGGGACCGGGACAAUAAGUGCUUUCUUUUCACAGCGCUAACAGAGCCACUUAUAUAUCUGCCGAGUCUACUUUUAGGGAGCUGCGUGGGCAGUUGAGAAAAGACAUUUCAAAUCAAUUCCCCUUUCUUUAUAUACUUUUUGGAUGCAACAAGGGAUUCACCUGGAACAGUAACUGGCCCGGACUCAUUUCAUUCAUAACUAAAUAACAGUUUGGUGCUCUAGCUCCUUAAAUAACAGUUUGGUGCUCUAGCUCCUAGUAGUAGAGUUGAGUAGAUAACUUAUUCCCUACGCAGAACCCCCUAUAGCUAGACAAAGACACUCUCGACAAAGAAUUCCACUAGCUCUCUAAACAACUGGCAAAGAAUUCCACUGACCCGAGUCAACUAAGAAUGAAACUCGUAUGUAUAAGAAUGCAACCACUACAAACAAGAAUACAACUAUCAACUCUCCACUACUGGCAAAUCAUUCCACUAGCGACUCUCAACUACGGGCAAUGAAUUCUACUAUCAACUCUCACAUCUCACAGCAGCUUACUUAGCGGUUACUACUGACUAACUCCGAUACUAAUAGUUCAAUACCGGCUAUCUAUCCUUAUUUGAACUUUCCUUUACUCUCUACCGACACUUACAAAUAAUACUGAUCGCUAUGAAGGUCUUCCCCGGCUUCCUCACCAAAGCCAACAACAAGAGCAGUACUGGCUCAGGGAUUACACUCGGGAUUACACUCGAGCAAGACCUUGCAGACCCAACUAAGACUGAUUAAGGAAUGGUUUUCACGAAGUAUAUGUUUCAUUAUUGACUACCCUUGACAUGUUCUAUAUUUAAUAUCUAGGACAGGGCAGGUUCUCUCUCGGGCUAUUUGACUAGAUCUACUUAUCUCCUUCUUUUGCUUCAUCAGAUCCUUCUUUUGCUUAAAAGCCAGUAAGUCUGAUCUCAUAGCGUAAACUCGCGCCAAUAACAGAUUGACUUAGGGCAUCCAAGCUUGAGUGAAGGUCCGUUCAUAAAGUGGAGUUCUUGCCCCUUCCAGUAGUGUAGCCAGAGUUUGAUGAGAUAGUUAGAUGAGAUUCAAGUUUUCCUUCCCAUUGCCUGAUAGCUGUGGUAGAGUGACUUAGUUUGGGUGUGUGGUGCAGGUCAGAGGUCAGAUUUCCAAGAAAGGGAUGCCCUAGAUAGAGAUUGGUAACCAACCAGGCCAAGGAGUAGCGGGACCAAGAGAAAAGAAUUAGAUGACCCAGGUGCUUAAGAAGGAAUUGAUUCUUCCCAAAAGCCAACACCACCACUAGCCACUUCAACAAUAACUGGAAAUCAAUCUACUUCAGUACUAAGUAUUCAGUACUAAGUAAAGUGAAGGCAACAAUCCAAGUAAAGGCAAUCAAGACGACAAGCAACCACAGUGGUCCAAGUCAUCUAUGUGAGGAUGCAGGGUACAGGGUUGGCAAGAAAUAGAGAAGAUAGGUCAAUUCUUAUUAAACUAAGGUAUAAGCCUUAUUGUUUCCAUGGCCUACCUCCGGAACUGCUUCCCUUAACCACCCAGCUGGUUACUAAUACUGUUAUUGCUCCUAUAUACUUCUUGCUACUGUUGCUUGGUUGCUCUUAAUUCUUCAAUUCCAAUGAAAUGAAUUCUGUAUCUUAUCUUUAUAUAUAGGAGAACGGAUUCAAUUAAAGUAGGUUAUGAAACCCCCUUUGUAUAGGCUCCAAUACUGUAGUUACUUUUAUGCUUGUAGGCUGGGCCGGUUCGAGCUCGAGUAGAGUAUAUUUCUGUUCUUGUUUGAUCUUUAUAAGGAAGCAUAAGAAGGAAAGUAGACGAGCUAGAGAGAAUAAGCUGUUAGAGUUUCGGGUGCAGUUCCCAACGAAUAAGACAAGCUGCUUUAAUAUUACGGGCAUAUAAGGUAUUUAAUGAAACAACUAACUCAGUAGUUCAAGUCAGAAUCCCACUCAAGCAGGAGGCAGUGGAGAACUAUAGCUCAUCUAACUCGCUAAGACCUUGAAAACAUAGCAACAAAUAAACGUGGCCAAGACACUCAGAGACGUAAACAAGUAAUAAAUUGUUAUACGGAUAAAACUCAUUCACAAAGAUACUCUAAGCCAACAAACAUGGAUUCCACUUAUUAUAAAGAAGAAGAAAGUGAGCGUCGACAAGCAAUGUAUACAAAUAUUGAUGGGUUUACCCUUUCUUCAAGGGAUUCCACCCCAACUGAAGGAUACUCGUCUACAACAACAGUACCGGAUUCUAUUUCUUCCCUUGCCGACCUUUCCCUUCUGUAUAAGUUUUUCAUUCAAUCUAUCUCUUGCGCCGAUCAAUCACCUCUCUUGGUUCCUUUCCUUCUUUAGAAUUUAGUGUACUACUAUAAUAAUUUCAUAAGUAAGGGUGAACGGGCAGGUCUAGUGGAAGUCCUGGGUUGAUUAAAUAAAGGGAUCCUUUUGUCUACUAUAGUAGUUGCUGCUUGUCCCGCCUGUCCGCUUGUCGGCUUGAGGUCGUAGAAAGGCUUUCCCUCCUUUGACACGUUAAGGGUAUCAAAGAUGUUCUAGCUUUCUUGGACUCAAAAUAAGGGGGUUAAUUGCUUCCUUUACAUUAAGGGCGCUUCAGAUGGAAGGGACAGUAGGUCAGGUCUAGUUUUCAGAAUAAGGAGCUGGAUCAGAUCGGAUAAAAUAAUCUUAUAAAGAAAGAAGCAGAGACAGAAAUACACUUAAUGGCGAAAGUGUCCUCUGUCGGCAACUAAACUAUCAUUCUGACUUGCGGAAUUCUUAUCCUAGGAGUUUGACUUUAUUCUUUAAUAACUAUAGAUUGUAUGGCUCCUCCACCCCAGGCAACGGGCAACAAUUCUAUACUUCCUGACCGCUUCUACUUGAGUUAGAUGACCCGACCUCUUCUACUGGCUACAAUACUAUACUUCAGGACACCACGCUGAAAAGCCAGUACUUGCUUCUGUUACGCGGCAGUGUGCUCGGAAACAACUAACUCAGAUAUCAGAAUGGAAAUAUACUUGAAGUUCCUCUCCUUCCCGGACAUUCCCUUCCCGCUUUAAGCUUAAACCGAUUAUUCCCCAAAGCCAACCUCUUAUCUCGUUGCCAAUGCUAUUAACUUAAGGGCUAGAGUGGAUUUCUAUUCUUUACUUUCCAUUUGUAGUUUAGUCUCCUUGGUAACCUAUCUCUAUUAUCCCUCUUGUCUUACUCGGAUCCUUCUCUUGAAACUAAUACAAAGAAUUGUCUUACUCGGAUGGAUCCUUCUUUUGAAACUAAUACAAAGAAUUGUCUUACUCGGAUGGAUCCUUCUUUUGAAACUAAUUCAAUGACUGGGGGCAGGAGUUCGGGCCUCAUUCCUUAGUCCUAAUUUCUUGUUCUUCACUCUUUUUUAUCUCCUCUCGCUCUACCUAGAAGUGGUUUCAUAAGAUUUCGUAAGAGAAGUUGUUUCUAAAGAUGGGUUCCUCCCUUUGCUUUUUGUCCCUUUAGCUAGUGUUUCUAUACCUAUACAAUGCCAAAAAGAAAGCGGAGGUUGUCGCUCGGUAGCUCCCGCUCCUCUUGAGAAAAAUACUGAUGAAACUAGGGUCGGUAUGAAACUAAUUCCCCAAGUAGUAGCUUGGCAGUUGCUGACGCCAUGUCUUCUUUCUUGCUCUAGUCGUGACUUGGCCCGGACUCUUCUCUUUCAAUUCCAAAGUCAGAAGUCAUCUCGAAAGUAAUAUAAUACUAAAGAAUCCACUGUGCCAGGAAAGGAAACUAUACAGACUUGCUAAUAACUCUAGGAAACUUCACUUGCUAGCUCAGCUCCUGCCGCUAGUGUUCCUAGGCAAGUCGACUCGACAUCGAACAGGGAUGGGCAGAAUUCGGGAGAAGGAAUACAGAAUGGAAGGAGUGGUAGAAAACCCCGGAAUACUGAAUGGAAAGAACUAUCCAAAUAUCUCUUCUUAGUAAGGAGAAAGUGGAGAAAGAUCUUCUUAGUAAGGAGAAAGUGGAGAAAGAGGGAAGUCCUGUCUUCGUAGAUGUUUUCACGGGCAAUAACAAGUGCGUCAGUGGCUGGGUCUGUCCUGUAUGAAGUAAAGUCUAUUAUAUAAGCUUAUAUAAGCUGAAUAGAAAGUAAUAGAACUGAUGAAACAGCCAAUCUCUAUCCUGAAGCAGGGCCCUUACUAAUCAUUUUUAUACUCGCUCGCCCACCUAGUGCUCUUAACCAACCGUGUCGUGUGCUCUUUCUUAUAUUAGAGUAUGAUCCUCAAGUACGAUAUAGCGCAAGUCAGAAAAUCCAGUAGUAAUACAGAAAUAUAAAGAAGAAGAAUAUUCGCCUUGCUUGUUUGCUCUUAACCUGCUAUGUAUUCAACAAUUCAAUUCGGACUUUCCUGUUGCAUUCUCAUGCUCUUCACUCAAAUUAGGAAAUUUUACUAAUAACUCGCCCCCCUUUUUUACAAGUAAGGGUGCACCACCAAGUAAGUUAUCCGUCUUUCUAACUAGCAAUGGCUUUCGCACUGCUUCCACUGAGUUAUAACCAGACAAGCUACUACCGAUACUGCACUGUCCACAACUCCCUUUCUUUCCGCUUACUGUUGAUAACGUUGAUUCUGCUUCUAUAUUGGAUGAAACUCAAACUUCGAUUGCGGACUUAGACACAAGCACUCGAACCUCCCCCACCCGCCUAGAAGCCUAUAUUGUAGGAAUAAGUAGCUCACUGACCUCAGACUUUAGCGCGUUCCUGCGCAUUAAAAAGAAUAUUCCUCAAUGAGAAAACGGAACUACUUACUCUCGCCAUUAACAUAAGGGCAGCUUACUUGUUCACCGAUACCAUAACCCUAUGCCUCUGCCUUUAGUUAGUAUAGUCAAGUAAUUGGGGUUCGUCUGCACUCGCACUCUUCGGCAUCUAUCUUAUCUUUCCACUAAAGAUUCUCCUGCGACACCACCAGACUUGAGAAAGGAAACAGCUCUUUCAUCUUAUCGGACUACUGGAACAGUUCUUGUUCUUAUGUUUGAUACCUUCAUUGCCGGUGUGAUUCUUACGUGUUAUACCUUCCGUAGGAGUCCGCUUGCCUACUUGCUAUGUGCUCGACUGAUUCAACCUGACUUCCGGAGUUGGAGAUAAGAUCUGAUGCUGCCGAGUCGGGGGCAGGUAUACACAAGAAAUUCAUUCGUUGCUCCAUUAGGGGUAUUUCCAAGGGGGAUUUCCAUAAAAACAUAUAAGGAUUCGAAAGAAUGCAUUUCAAACCCUAUUCUUGAGCUGCUUCUAGUUAAAGUGGAAUGCCAAGAGGAGAGUGCAAAAUCAUACUGGACUAGCUCAUAGCUCAUUAAUAGAUAUAUGAAUUAGUUCCUGACUCUCUAUGCCUUCGGGUGCGGGGAAAGUCGACAUCUUAGAGAUUGAGUUCUCGUUUUUGUAUCGGCGUUAGGAGCUCCGUUUUUAAGCAAUGAGAAUGAGAUAGAACAGAGUCUCGUAUAUUAAUAAAUAAGUCAUGUUAUGCUCUUAUAUUAGAAGUGCAUUACUAAAGUCAAGAAGCAACAGGAUUUGUAAGGCUAGCAAGGGAACAAUAACAAGAAGCAAGCAACAGGAUUUGUAAGGCUAGCAAGGUAGAAAGUCAGGUAUCAAUCAACCCCAGUAGGAAGUGACUUUUAUAGCUCCAUUAUCUUCUUAAAGAAAGGGCGCUAACGUUAGCUUAUUGUUUCCGGGGUUGGGGAGAGGAGAGUUAGAAGUUAAGUAUACACCAUGAGUCAAAUCUUAUUAGUGACAUAUUCUAAGAGUAACAAGACUUAGGGACUAACUUCUUUUGAAACAAUAUAUCUCAUGGAUUAUUUCAAAGACCCACUGGACUAACGCCAUGAAAACACCACUCCUACUAUAGCCGAUGGAAAACCUCCUUCUUGCUUUGCUCUACACUGUACCCUUUACCCCCUUACUUACAUUGCUUGGACCACAUAAGAGGAAAGCUUUUCAUAAGGCAAUUAGAGUCUAACCUAUAUGCCUCUGUUCAACUCUGCUAACGCUUAUUCCAAGUUUAGGGAAGAGCAAGCGGGGAUAGUUCGUUUUUAAGCAAAAGAGAAGCAGUAAAGUCAACAGUGAAUUUCUGGAACAAAAGAAAUAGCCGAUAGGUCGUUAUCCUCAAAGCAAAAGCAGAGAAGUAGCGUCAUUGAUCGAAAGCCUUAAGUCAACAAAGAAUUGCUGGGCUCUGAGCGCUGAACAAGGAGUCAUAGGUUUUUUGACUACCCAUUCUAUAUGUUUAUAGCUCUAUUCUUAAAUGAAUCACGAGUGCUUCUUCACAGCGCUAAGCAUAUUCCUUCAUACGAGUUUCCAGUUCUGUUCGAGACGGCAGAUGAAGAGACUAAUGCCCCUGGCAGGUAUAGUCUCUCGAUCAUUGGCAGGUCAAGUCUCUCGAUCAUUGGCUGAAUUGCCUGGUCAUUUUAUGAGAAAUAGUGAGCUUUUUCACAUGGGAGAAAAAGGGCAAUGCAAUCAACUUUCCCUCCCCGGCAGUAUAGCGUCGCUAGGAUUUCUCAAUAGAGUACAAUCCAGCAAGCAAGAUAGUUUGGCUCUGGAUUUUGCUUGGUGCUCAUCCCUUUCUUGAUUCGAUAGCAUUUGAUGGAAAUAGAACGUCGAGUGAAGAGAACCCCUUAGUUAUUCUAAAUACAAUUGUUCUUUCUUAACUACUAAGUGGAAUUAUAUCACCAAAAUAGUCUCUGUGGGUGCUGUCUGAAAGCCCUGUUUUUUGGAUCUGAAUGAAGCUCUGUGGAAUGCAAAAGUGGAGUUCCGAAAGCAGCAAAAAGGUCGAAUAGUGAGCUGAGAGCUUUCAAUAAUCAAAUCGAGUUAUAUCUUCAGAUCUGGCCCCUUACUCGCUCGUGAGCCAAUUAUUUCUCCUAAAGAUUCCAUUCAAGUGAUUUGCCUCCCGAAUCUUAUAGACAAGAAUGAAGGAAUACAACACUCAAACAUAUUGAAUAAUACUACCUUCCUUGAAUAGAAUGAGAAAGAGCGGAAAUCCAAAUAGCCUUCGGAAUACAUAUGUGCUACUUAACGUGCUGAUAGAUGAAAGAGGGCAUGGAUUGAUUGCCUGGCAGCGAGGAGUUAAUAGCCAUCUUCUUUUCUUACAUGGUCAAAGAAUAUAGCUAAGAGAUAUUUCUGCUUUGAAAGAGGAGCUUCCAGAGUAUGGGCCGUGUCUCAGUCCCAGUGAAGCCCUUGUUAGAAUCCAAUGCCCCUGAAAAACGUCGUGUCGUGGAGCAGAAAGUGGCUUUAAACCAGGCUAUCCUAACUCCCUUAGGGCUCCUGCCGCUAGUGUUCGUCGAGUAAGAAGUCAAUUAAUCCAAUUGAACCACCCUAUGACCAUAAGUACUGGAGUCUGGAAUUGCACCACCCUAUGAUAAGUACUGAAGUCUAGAAUUGCUAUGAGGCAAGUAACUACUAAUGUUACGCGGCAGUGCUGUUUACCGGGAAAACGGAAAAAGAUCAUUUCCAUGGAGCCCCUUAGGAGGGGCCAAGGAACUACUAACGUUCCGCGGAGGAGCUCUCACCAAUGCUACCUUUUUGACCGGGAAAACGUGAACUUUGGAUUUCCAAUUGACCCUUCAGGAAGCAAAACACCUUCGCUACCUUUUUUCUCGGGAAAACGCAAAGAUAAGAUUUCCAAUUGACCCUUUAGUAGGGAAAAUGCCAGUGCAACGAAAAAACACGGGGUUUCUUAAAAAAUGAAUGACUUUGGAUCGGUCUAUUAGCUAAAAUAAGGUUGCUGCCUUUUUGACCGGGUUUCCAUGAGUGACUGAGUGUUCUAAUCCCUUGUUGAGUCUUCUCUGAAGUUGACAAGUAGUUGUCCUGUCGAAUCUGUAUUAGUUGACUACGGAGAAGUAGAUGAGCAAGAAAAGUCUUAGUUGCCCUAGAUUGAAGUUGGCCUAGCCUGUAGUUUGCGAGAGUGGAGCCAGAGUUAGAGUAGUUGACAGAGGAGUAGUGAGUGGAAUACCGAGUUUCGUCUUCAAGUCCUGUGUUCGGGAACUAAGUAGUAACAGAAAGAAACAAGCCCAUAGCAGACCUAAAGACAGGAUUAGUUGGUGGAGAUAUAGGCUUUAAGGCAAUAGUGGAAGCUUUAAUACCCGCCCCCACACUAAGGGAGACUCUAACAAACAAGUAAGGAUGAAAGGGACAAAUACAAGAAUCCAGAGUCUAGUCAGAAUGAUAGCUAACAGCGGUAGACUUUAAGGCAAUCUAGUUAGUUUUAGAUGGGCACAGGUAAGGUUUGGGGUCAAUAGCGGAAGCCCAGUUAGCAGUGGUUCUAGUUUUCAAGCAAAGGUAACAACGGUAGGUUCAUAUGUCGCAGAGCAAGACUCGAGGUAAUUAGUUGCAGGUUUGUCAGCGCUAGUCUAAUUCUAAUAGCUGGAGUCGUUUUGUUCUUACGGGCAGUAGGGCAGGCUAGGAGAAAGGUGGGCAAGUCAGAUAGAGUUAGUUCGGGACAGAAAGCGUUAAGUCAUGCCAGUAAAGUCCGUAUUGCCAGGUCCAGUAGAAAGUUGAGUGGAAAGUCCUGUUAGUGCAGAGGGUAUACUACUUAGGUCAAUUCUGAACUUCACUUAUGAGCCAGAGGCAGUUGUUUCCUUCUUACUCUUAUUGGUUGGAGUUUCUCAUUCUUAUACUUACUAGUUGGGGUGGUUUCAUUCUUAGUGUUCUACCAGUAAUACCAAUACCUAAGUUUCAUUCUGUCUAGAAAUAGAACGGAUUGUCCCGCUGAAGCUCAAACAUUAGAUUAGAGGCCCUUAUUGUAAGUUUGCUCAAACAAAAGUAGUAGGGGCGGUCUUAAACUGAAACUAUCACUCGAACAAGAACUGGAACUCUACUUGAUGACAAGACCAAGACUGGAAUUGCUAUCCAAAAACACGGAGCCAAGCUACUGCUACUAAGGCAACUAGCCAAGCAAACGACUACUACAAAAGCAAGAGUCAGAGUAGUAUAAGAAAAGGAAGAAUUCGCCAGGCAAGAGGGGGUGCCUUGUAGGGGUGAACUCAAAGGUCAGAAUUGUAACGAGAGUCGAGGUGGGUUCAAGAGGAAAGAGAGAGUUUAUUACUUAUUAGAAAGAGAUAGUUUACUUAAGCUAUAGAAGGAAAGUAGCUCGGGCUAAAGUAAGCUUCAAAAGGUUAUGGUUAAGAAAGUGGAGUGAAUUACUAGGGAGUUCAAGAGGUAUGUAUGAGUCUCGGAAGAAAGAGUUAAUAAAUAGGAAAUCAAGGGUUAACUGGAGUUAGUGUAUUAGUAGAGGCUUUCAGCACCUUCCUGUUUAUGUUUAAGAGAUAGAUCCUGACUGUUGGUCGAGUGUGAGUUUCAGACCGGAUAUCAGUUGGAAGUACUGCUCCUGUUGUUGUUAGAUUGGAAUUCUGUAUUUGUAGUGGUUUCAUGAAGUGACUAGGGGUCGGGGCAGAGUUGGAGGCUAAGUUUACGUUUCAGAAUUAUUUGUUGUCAGUUGCCAGAGGAGAGGGAGAGUUGAAUGAUCUACCUGUUGCUACUCGUACUUUACUGGGUUGCCAGAGUCGAGGUAUACCGAAUGAAGGUUGGAAUUAGACAAGAGUUUAUACUACUGAGUGCAAUUCUUAGUCGUUUUAUGGGUUUCAUUCUUAGCUUGCUGAGUGGAAUUCUGAUCUUAUACUAGAAGCGGGCAAUUAAUACCUUAAUUACUAAUAAGGGCUAGCUCACCAAUGAGUUGAAUUCUCUGACUUAUGGGUUGAAUUCUUGGACGAGUGAGUUGAAUUCUGUAUUUGUUGCUCUAGUAGCUGGGCUUUGACCACUUAACGGUUUCAUUCUUGGACUUACUUGUUUGAUUCUUACUUCCGUUCCCACUUGUUCAUUCAGUAAUUCCCACUUUCCAACCUUAGUUUCAUUCUUAGCUUUGAAGUGAACCCAUCCCCUGUGGAGCUUGGCUCUUACUUUCAACAAAGUAGCUAAUUAGUUCAAUUAGUUCAAAGAGUCGAAUGAAGGUAGAAAACUACUGAUCUAAAGUCUAGUAUAUUGGAGAAUUGCCUGUAUCAGGAUCAGAGCAGAGCCCUCAUAGUAAGUCGAGAAAGUCAUCCCGAGUUUCCCUUAUAUUAAGUCGGAGAGAGAUUAGCUAGUAGCCAGAGGAGAGGUAUUCUAGUUGCCACCAGCAAUCGGGUAAGAAAGUGGAGUUAUCGUAUCAGACGGGAAGGAAAGUGGAGUUUUAUCGUAUUAGAAGCCCCUUUAAGUAGUAGUCCAGGGUAGGUUCUUGUUGGCGAAAGUGCCCUGUAAAGUAUAGAAUUGCCAGUGACUCGGGUGGGGCUUGUCUCAUUCAGUAGGGCAUAGUGGUCUGGUCUAGUGAAAUCCGUAUUUGUUGACAGAGGAGAGGUUUAGUUGACAGAGAAUCAUUAAGCUAGUAGCCAGCUGCCAGUGGAAUUCUUUGCCAGUAGUUUAGAGAGCUAGUUUCUUUCUUUGGUUUCAUAGCCACUAGUAAGUUAGUACGUAGUUACUUGGCCGAGUGUCUUGGCGCGCCGUUGCUUGGCCAGUUGUGAUUUCAUUCCCAUCCCAGUGGUUACUCGAUUCCCAGUUGAGAGUUAUCGUCUUGUGUUUAUUGGUUUCAGCCUUAGACUCCUUUCCGGUAUUCCUACUUUUGAGCUUCAUCCCUUAUAUCUAGUUGUUGUCGUUGUGGUGGGCACAGUUUCUCAUCCUUAGAAGCAGCAGCGAUAGCCUUUCUUUGCUUUCAAUGUGUUAGAGCUAUGUCCCUUACCCUUACCUUAUAGCUCGAUUCCUUAUUCGUAGUUCUAUUAUCAUGGGCGGUAGUUCACUCCCGAUACCCUUAGUUCCAAUCCGAUACUCACUACUUCAUUUAGUUCCUUUGAUCAGUGGUUCAAUUGCUAUUGUUAUUGAUUGGAUUCUUAUAGUGAAGUAUAGUUCGUUCUUGCACCUAGUGGUGUGUGAGUUUGCAAGUAUGUAAAGGAAUACUCAAACUCGCAUAUAGGCAUUGAGUUCGGUAGUUUCAGUUUAAGAGCUAUUGGAUAAAGGCUGGAAGCAAGUCAAGUCAGAGUAGCGGGGCAGUAGGGGAAGCCCGGUUUCCAAUACAAUAUAAGUAUGUUUCAUUUACCAGUAAAGUAAGGUUCGAGACCAUUAGGUGAAUUUGGAGUUUUGAGGAUAAGUCUUAGAGUAGUAGCGGCUCAAGUCUUAUUGGUGGAGUGUUUUGAUUCACUGUUUCGAGGUUGGUUAUGAGAACACCAGCGCAAGUAUGUUUGUCAGCUGCUCCAUGCUUAUAUUAUAGAAUUCUUAUUCGCCCCAACGGGGUAUCAGCCUUGCCAGUAAUAGCCCGAUCCCUAGUUAUGAGUUCGAAUCAGUUUGCCGGUAGUUUCAUUCCUUAAUGCAUUUAGGAAAGUCCUAUUGUCUUCGGUGUCUCAAUCCAAUAGUCAGUGGCUCAAGCCUGUUUGCCACCAGUCCCAUUCCCUUUAGUAGUUAGUGUAGGCUUGAACAAAGAUAAGUCCUUUUCCCAGUGAGUAGGGAAAGUCUCCGUUUUAGGUGUCAGCCUUAUUUCUGUGUUGUUAGUAUAGAAGUCUAAGUAGCCCAUUCUUAUUGUUAGAGGAAUCAGGCUUAUAGACAGAGGUAUAUCUGUUGGAUAGCAAAGAUGUCAGGAACAACUAACAGAAUAUAAGUUAGGUGAUGUGGAAUCAACCCAGGGAGAGGUGGAGUGAAGCGGAGAUAGUCAGAAUUAGAUCGAGUAACUACAGAACCGAAGUAAGGAGAGGAAGGAUGAAUCCACUAAUACGGAAUGCAGUAAGUAAGUCCCGUUAGGCGGUGUUCGAUUCAAGGUUUCACUCUUGUCAUUACCAGUGGAAUGUCCCUAUUGUAAGUGAAAGUAUGAUUGUGGUAUCGGCUAAAGUAUUGCUAGCAGCGGUGUAAUACCCAGCUUUAUUAGUUUGAUUCUAUGAUUGAUUAGUGAAAAUCUAUGUAUUCCCAGUGCAAUUCCGAGUUCCUACUUAGAUGUACCUACUAAAGAAAGAGUUGGUUCCCUAUUGAUAGUUAAGGUCUUCAAAGCACUUGUUCCAUUCUAUAUUAUAAGGCCGGUAUUCCCUAGUCGAAUAUGAGAAGCACUAGUUCCAGAUUGGGGGCAUGGAAAGAAAGAACCAAAGUAGGUAACUUCAGAGUGAAGCCAAGGAUAGUAAGAGUAGGUAACUUCAGAGUGAAAGCCAAGGAUAGUCAGGCUAAUAUUCUAGUGAGUAGCCGCUUGGUGAGUCAAAAGGGAAAUAUAGAGUUAAGACUUGGAGUGGAGGCCUAAAGCCCAUAAGCAAGGAUUUUCUUCCUUCAGUAGUGUCAGACCUCUAUUGAGUAGUAGAAUAACGGACCUGGAAAUACAGAUUUGAGGGUAGUAGCGAAAGCCGUGUUAUCCGUGGCCCCGGUUGCUUGUUUCGAUCUUGUUAGCAGUGAUUUCAUUCUCGAUUUACUACAAUAAAGAGAUUAGGUCUCAACAAAGAGAUUUGUGUCAAAUGCGUAAGGAGAUUAGUUUCAAAUGAACUCUAACAUAACAGAUUUAGUGUUGAUUGAUGGGAAAUCUACUAUGGAAUGCCCUGAGUCGAGCUUAUUAUUCAUUUCAAGCCUAUCAAACAAAACAGGAUAGUAAGAAUAAGAUCAAGCAAUAUCCGUUUUAGAGCUAGUGGACAGAGGCUAGUAUAAAGCCCCCAAAGGGUCGGCUUAUAGUAAGUCAAACAAAGACCCAGAGCAGUAGAUAAAGAAGGAGUGGAGGGCUAAGAAGGUAUUCCAAGUUGCGGGGUAAGCCCGAGUUCUAGUAUAAGUAUGAGAAGCGCCGGUUCCGCUCUUGGAGGCAGUAGUGAAAGCCUCGUUUUUUAGGUAGGGUCAUUCCUGUCAGCACCAGUUCUAUUCUUGUAGUUCCUUGACUUACUUGUUUCAUUCUAUUCCUUGGAUGUGCUGUAUAUCAGACCCUUAUUCUUUGACUACUUAGUGUAAUGCGCUCUUGCAGUAUAAACGCGAAAGUGAUACUUCGACUAAGGGGUGUGGGAACGAGAUAGAGGAGUGUCUGUUUUAGAGACAUUAGUGGCAGGCUAAUAGUCAAGGUAGUUAGGUUUGGUUUGGAGUUAGUGGUAAUAGAGUGAAAUAGGUUUACUACAGAUUGGAGUUAGGUCUGUGAAGUUUGAACCUCCCCCAUGGGCAUUUAGUUAAUAAAUAUAGGCAUGUGAAGGGGCAAGUAUAAUAAUUUAGGUAAGCUGUAUAGGUUUAGGCAAGGCAGGGCUAGUACGGAUAUAAGUUUUCAACCAAAGAGAGUGAGCCCUAUAGCCAGGACAGUAAUAGUCAAAUAGGAACAUAAGAUUUUAUGUAAUAAGGUAGGCUUGGCUUGGUGUUGCGGGGGCAGUAAACAGAUAUGAGAUCAGGAGCCGUGGACCCAAACAAACAAGCAAGGGUCGAGGUUCUUAGUUUCAGAGUUCAAGUUAGCAGCGGUAGUGUUGGGAUUUUCUUUGGAAUUCAUAGUGGUGGUGGAGGUAUAUAAGAUUGGAUUCCAGCAAGAGCAGGCGCUAGGGCAGUGAAGCCGGACUAAACUAUGAGAGGGCUUUACUAAACUCAAUCUAAGAUCUGGAUCAGCAGUUAACUCAUCAUGGUGAGUGGUUGCUUUCUGAUCGGCAGUAGUAGGGUUCUCUCCAGUACCAGCGGAAUUCUUUGCAUCAUGCUGGAUUAUUAUAUUAUAUCUAGUAGCUCCAUUCUGAUAAUACCGAGUGAGUUUCUAUUUCCUAAUGUAAGAUACAUAUUCUUCUUGUGGCUUAGUGCUCUUAGACCUAAAAUACAGAAUUAAGGAGAAGCUAUGGAUAGCGAUAAGUCAACUCUCUUCUUAAAGUCGGGAGUGCUAGGUUGGCGAGUGGAAUUCCUCCUUUUUGGUUUCUUUCUUUGAAGCGAGGUAUCUUCACCGGGUAGGUUGACGAGAGGGAGGUCUAUUCUGACUUAAGAGUUUGGAGCACUAGGUAGGCGAGAAAUAGCACUACAGGUUGGUUCAGAGCACCACCACCCACUUCCCUGGCUUGUCGGCUUGAAGAUCUUUCCCUGUGUGAACCUGUUUACUAGACACCAGUGUACUAGAGUUAUUCACAAGUCCUGUGUUCGUGAACUCCAUUAAUAUAUAUUAAUGGAUAUUAAUUAAGUUCUUAGCUUUAGUUGCUUGUCGUCUUGGCCCUUAUUCCCAGUUUGGAGUGAAAUUCAGAACGGAGCUUCUUUCACUGUGAACUAUCCCCUUCCCUGAUACCGAGUAAACAAAGAAUUCAUCUAUUUCUAUUUCCACUCCGGGGUCAACAGAACAGGUUGUUGCUUGUCUGCUUGGCGGGUUCUACUUAUACUAGGGGGCUUCUGAAGCACUAACAGAGUUUAGUUCAAAGAGCAAGUCCUGUGUCCCCAGGCGGUUAUAAUGUAUUUAUGACUUUCUAUGUGUUUUGUGGAAGCCUGUUAGAUCAGUGGAGCAAGAUCAGAGGAAAGAUCCGCCCUUACAUAUCCAAUUGUGUAUAUAGUAGGAGUGAAGAAGCACAUAGUCGGAGUGAAGAAAUAGAGGCAAGAUCCGCCCUUACAUAUAGUAUAGUAGGAGUUAAGAAGCCAAGCAAAGGUGAGGUCGGCACCAUGUAUUGAUGUGAAAGCCCUGCAAUGCCCUCGCCAUAUACAUAUAGCAAUUGUGUCACUCCUUAACUAGGGUAGGCGGCUUGUGUUUCACUUACAUCAAUUGACUAGCUAACCUUUAGCGCUUUAGCUCGUCGAUUAGUAUUCUUUUCUAGUAUUCUUUUAGUUGUUUGUCUGAUAGCUCAGCAGAUAUAGUAGUUACGGUGUUCUUCUUUAGUUUAUAGGAACUCGUACUUGUUUCAUUCCGCUCUAUAUAAGUAAUAUGUAUUCCGUUUUCCACCUUCCAUAGUAGUUGCAUUCUGUUUAUCUAUUUGCUAUUGGAGGUCAGUUAUUCUUAUUCGAGGGAUAGUUUACAGUGAAAGAAGAUAAGAAUUCAUAAUUGUUGACAGAGCCAGAGAGGGAUGAGCCGGGAGUUCUUGUUUGAAGUAAGAGCCAAGCGUAACAGGGGGUGGGUGAACUACUAAGAUCAGAAUUGCACUCAGGAGUGAAAGAGCCAAGCUAAAGUACUAGAGCCAGAAAUCAGAAUGGAAUGGAAUGAGUUUACUUAGGUAGAGGAUAGAGGGGAAGUUGCAAGUUUAGUUUAGAGUAGCUAGUCCUGUAGUUGUAGAGUUGAAUACCGAGCCCUUCAUUAGUUGUUUCAUCCCUAGUUUCAUCCUUUGUUGGCUACGAGAGAGGAGUGGAGUUGGGGUCGAUAACACCGGAGCGGAGGUUGGUCACGUCAUUGAAUUGCCUGGCCUUCUACACAAAGGUACGAGACGAGAUUGAAUCACUUACCGUUGAAGAAGCACAGAGGCAUAAUAGGUCUAUAUACAAGAAAGAAUAUGGAACAGGUGAGGAAGCUGUGGAAGUGAAAGUGAAGUCUAGUAUAGUGUUACUUGUGUUAAGCAAUGAGUCAAUUAAGCAAAAUGAGCAAAACCUAAUUGGAUCUUUCGAGUCCAGUCCUUGCACUGCUACCACCUUCUGAUCCCUCUGUGGGCAUUCUCUUAGGCUUCUUCCCCUGCUGAUGCUUGAGACUAAGAUUCCCUAAAUGCUUCUAUACUAAACAAAACUUGCAUGAAAUAAGUGUAUGGCGCCCGAGAGACUUUAUCUUAUCUUAGGAGAUGAUAUCUUCUUAAUACGACUUUCCUAGCACCGACACAAUCACCUCUAUCUAUGACAACACUUGCACCCUCCACUCAAUUACUCGGUUUGUUUAAAGCAAAGGUCUCCGUUAAGGGCCAUUCGAGCAAGGAUCUCUGUGUUGGAUAGUUCAAGUUCUGAAUAAACAUCUUCCAGCGAGUAGGAGCGGGAUGACAUAAACGCUCAAACAAGCAACUCUGGGGAUGUAGUUCAUUCUUUCCUCGUAUUUCACUAAGCUAUUUACCGCUGAACACAUCUAUUGAGCAAGUCCUGUGUUCGGCUUCUCAUACUUUAGAUCAUACCCAGGAAGCCAGCGACUACCUAUAAGUAGUAAUCCGGGAACUAAGCCCAUAUCCCUUGACUCUAUCCUUGCUCUACUAUAUCCCAUGCCGAAACUCCUUAACUAACAAUACUUCAACCAUUAGUCUGUCCCGCCCCCUUCCAUUAGGCGCUUACUUUACUGACUUUGAUUCUGUAACUUGCUACUAUUAGAAUUGGACUAGUGGCCUGGAUACUGUCUUGCGCCAUUGGUUGCCGAGUUUUCUUGUUCAAUUACUUAUUAAUAAGACCAGAUCGAUGAUUAGAGACUAAAAGCCGGUAGUGAUAGGUUUAGACAAGAGAAUGUAAAUACAGCUAAUGAAAGGCGGACUAAUAGACAGGAAUAGAAGGCCAUUACUACUGACGGUAAAUACAGAUUUGAUAUCAGUAGCCUAAGAGCUACGUAGGGGACUCCAGUCUAUAAGCAAGGAUACACAGAGCAGUACCGGAGAAUGAUAGCAAAGGAUAUAUACUUAAAGAAGGCAGGCAAGGGAAAGCUUGGAAGCACUAGUUCCAUUCGUAGUUUAGAGUUCGAUUCCCUAUUUAUAUAUUGAUUCUUUUAUUGACUAGUUGAGUUCUUAUCACCAAUAAGUAAAGUUCUGUCCUAUCCCAGCAAGGGGCCCUAAAGAGGAAAUACCCUGAUAACACUCGAUCGAAACUAAGUAGUACGAGAAUGAGAUAAAGCAUAGUCAGACCAAUAGAAAGGAAAGUCACAUUAUAAGAAGGUGCGUUGCCUACAUAAUUCAAUAGGUAAGCGGAUAAUUCAGUAAGUAAGUGGAAGCCCUAGUUGUUAAUUCCAUUCUAUAAGAGGCCCGUUCCAAGGUUAAGAAGAGGUAUUGUUGGGCACUAGGUUGAUUCUUUCCAGUAGAGAUAUAUAAGCCUUGUAAGUAUAACAGCGAUAACCUUGUUAGCCCCGAGUGCAAUUAUCUCUUUUGAGUGGAAUUACUAGUUUUCUUUUUCACUCUUGUUGGUCUGAGUUCGAGCCUUGUUUUUACUUGUUCCAUUCUUUUACUGAUUGGCUCAAUUCCUUAUCUCACUUACUCAGUUGCUCGGCCCUUCCUAUAAGUUUGUGCCCCUUUUAGUCACAUUUAUCCUACCAGCAAACUGCCUAUCAUGCCUUUCGUUCUUUAAUUAAUACAUUGGGAUCCUUGUUUUGAUUCUGAUAGUACUUAGUUUGGUUCUUUUUCCUAAAGCGGAUUUUUGUUGCUAGUGUUAUUAUUGUGGCUAGGGCUAUUAGACCUAUCCCUAUUAGACCUAUUCCUAUUAGUAGAUUUACUACAUCGUACGUGCUUUGGUCUAGAACAAGUAGUAAAUGAGUACGGUUAAGCAGUUAAGUGGGACAAUGGAAUUCUAUCUCUCUUGCAUCGCAUAUAUAUAUGAUAGAGGAAUGUAACAAAUCAUCUACUUAUUAAGUGCUAAGAGUCAACAAAACCCUAGCGACCUACAUUCUUGACCAUUGAGAGGGGGCGUAGUUCUUUACCGCUACGUGGGCUACGUUGAACAGAGGUAUGCUAAAAUCAAGAUGAAGUGAAAGCCAACAAUGAGAAAGAUUAGUUGACAGCCCGCUAACUCCUGACUGCAUUGCUUCCUUCAAUAUAUUGGAGAGGUUAUUAGGUGGAGGUUUAUAGGUGAUUUAGGUAUAGGUUAUGUAGGCAGUUCUCUUUCAUGUAAGGUAAGCUCCAUUAUGAAACAUUCGCUUUCUUAUAGCUGUUGCUUCUUGCUUCUGGAACUAUACUACUCGUUGCUUUUGUUCUCUACCACAUGCUUGUUCUGUUACUUGUAUUGUCGGUAGAAUAUCGUCGUAGGCGCUCUGACUCUAAAGACUGGAAUUGGGAGCUGCUAGUGCACCCAUCUAUUAUAGAACAUAGGAGGAUGACAAAUACAAAGAAAAUAGUCAAAGAGUUUCUUUCGCCGUUGAGAUACCUUCAUCGAGCUAUCCUUGCUUUCGAUCUACCACUUGUGUUCUUGCGUCAGUGUUUGUAUCUGAGACGGAUAACUUGCCUGUUCUUGCAUCAUUACUAGUUCUUGAACCAAUGCUUGUAUCUGAGAAGGGUUGUUACUUACUAGUUCUUGCAUCAUUACUAGUUCUUGCACUAUUACUAGUUCUUGCACUAUUACUAGUUCUUGCACCGACAUCCCAAUAGACUAGAAUUUGUCUAGCAUAAUCAAAGGUCAUUUACCUAACAUAAUAAAAGGUAUAGAAUUCACCUAGCACAAUAUAGAACUGAAGAAACCGCAUUGCUUCCUAAAAAACUCUCUAGCAUUAGCACUUUUCAACAAGCCGUUAAUCCUGUUGCGCAAGAAGCAACUAAAGAAAUCAGUCCACCAGCACAGUCCAUUCUCGUCGACAACACUGGAACGGAACCUUGAAACUGCUUAUUCUGGGCUUAAACUUCAAGUAAAGCACCGAACAUGAAACUAGCACCGAACCUAGUCCACUUGAACAUCCGAACUAAACUACAGCCGAAAUCCUUACAUGCGGGCGCAUAGUUAACAAGGAAUUCCAGCAGUAUAGUGAAAUCAAAGAGAAAGAUGAAUUGAACUGAUGCUGACGCACAACUAACUAACGGAGCUACGACGCAGAGCUACUAUCUACCUACUUGCUUAUGAACUACAGUCAAUCACCUCUCUAUACCGACGUUAAGCCAAUAACAGAACUAUACGACCCGCGCUGAUGCAGGGUCUUUUUUGACUUACCUAUAGAAUAGUCACACUAGAUUCUAUUCAUGGUUUACUUCACACUGGCCUAUCAUUCUUGUUGAGUAUGGAGCGGGUUCGGGUUCCAAUCAAUAUUCUUUUCCUUAAGCAAGGGAACAAGCAAGGGAAAUAAUUCUUUCACUUUAUGGAAAGGUGCUAUAAUAGGUGACUUUAACGGGUGGGCGUGAGCUUCGUUUUCGUCAGCAUAAGAGGCAGCUGAAUCGAAUCCAAAUGAUUGAGCCCGAAAGAAGCACAGUUAUAGAAUCAAAUGAUUUAGCCGCAAUAGAAUAGGCAAAGUGGAGAAUCAUUUAUAUCCCUUCACCCGAUAUAGGCACAGUUAUAGAAUCAAAUGAUGGAGUUGCUAUAGGCACAGGUUGAGAAUCUUUCAUAUCCCUUCACCAUUCAUUGCAUCUUUCUAGCAUAUUCAAUAAGACACUAACUCCUAACUCAUAACUCACGUAAACACCAAAAACUGUAAGCUUAGCGAGCGACUUUAGCGUUAGUACUUAGAGUGGCUUGUUCAGUGCUUUACUCUAAGUCCAGCUGACUCUUUCAGAACUUAAGGUACAGUGCUAUGUGAAUCAAUUAUAUAUUAGUUGCGCCUUAAGCGUUAGAUUACUUUCCAGUAUUAGUGGCGACUAAAGCUAACGGUGACUUUCCUGGGUUCCUCAAUUCGUUCUUAAAGCUAGGAUAGAAAGUAUUGUUUUGAAACCACCAGUGUGAAGAAAUCCACUAAUAACCUUAUGGGGCAAGUAGUAUCAUUGGCGAAACAAAGAGAGCAGGCUGAAACUAAAAACUAGGCAUUGAGCACUGCCCAACAAGAACCAAACCCGGAACUAGUACUUGGACUAGCGCUGGCAAGGCUUUAACCCAACACUAAGGCUUUCAUUCGGAACUGGGGAUUGAACGAACCACUGAUGACAAAGCGCGCACUGCUGCUUUUAAGGCUUUCAUCAAGGUAGCAAACUACUCGUGGAAUUACUAUAAUCAAACUAACUACUAUUAUUUCUCAUAUGAAAACACACGUAUAAAUGUAAGUGAAAAGAAUAAUGAAUUGGAAUCUUAAUCGGGAGUAGCAGGACUAACUAACACAACUGAAAGGGAAUUCGAGGUACAACGUUGCUUGGUGAGGACGAGUUGAGCUCCUAUGCUUACUGCUUAUACCAAUGAGUUGAGCUCCUAUGCUUACUGCUCUUAGUCUAUUGCUGGGUAUAUUACUACAUGUGGUAGUCCCGUAUUACUAAUGCCCUUACCUUAGCCUUAUAGUUCACCAUCCAAGAAUGGAAGAAGCAAACGUCAGACUUGAAGUCGGGAAUACAAAUAAGGAAUAAUAAUAGUAUUUCCAGAAUACUGAUAUACUUUGACUUAUGUAUUGAGAAUAUCUACGUAGUGGUCCCUACCCUAGUAUGAGUCGCUAGCCUAGUAUGAGUCGCUAGUAGGGAUCGAUCCCUCAUUAAAUACUAACGAGUAAGGGUCGGGUGCUUUUUACCUUUCUUCUAUUUGCAAGUAUUCAUUAUCAUAUCCAAUAUUCUCAAGUAUUUUCUUAGGUGCUUUUCCCCUAGUGUUUUCCUCUAGUCUAUUGAUUGAAAAAGUACAAUUGUUUUUAUGUUUUCAAUAUGUUUGUUUGUUUUUCGAUUUCCAUAUGUCUGUACCGGUUCUUUUGUUUAGAUAAUGGGCUUUGAUGCAAGUUGCCCGAUGGAAUUGAGCUUCUGCUGUCCCUACUAGUUCUAAUUGCUUUCUUGACUUCCUACCUAUUAAUAAAGUGUUGACUUCCUACCUAUUAAUAAAGUGAGUAUAUGGUGCGUUAGCUUAUUAGAGUUUAGGGCGCGCCAGGCAAUAAGUGUGGUAGCAGCGUCUUUUCUUCACGUGGAAUCGGCACCUUAAUUCAAAAACUCUAGGUAAUUCAAUAACACCUGACUCAUGUUAUAAAACAAAGGACAACUUUCUUUCCAUGGUCGAAAUGUGUGAGCGGCAAUUGGCUCAGACAUAGGAGUGGAUUCCAAGUUUCCCUCGACCUGUUCACCACAGAAAGCAAGAUUACGGAAAGGCAGGCAGGCUUUUCAUAGAAGGUUUGAGUCGGAGUUGGGCCUGUGUUCAUGUCGUUUGUGAGUUAAGCGAGUGAAGAGGAGCAUCUUACUCUUAGGAAACUUCUUCUGAUCUCGUUGACUCAACUCAAACAGUCAAACAAUCAUUUCUUACUGAUAUGCAUAUAAAUGAAGUAAUCUGAUUCCUGCUGACUCUAAUGCUCUAUAAACGGACUCUGCUGGCUCUGACCUUACAAGCGUUACUGUUCCUUUCCACUUAACCGACGGAUCUUAUCUUCACGAUGAAACUAUGAUUCACGGCAAACUAAGCAUUCGUUCGGAGUUGACAAGGGAUAUGGCUCACUUUCUUAUAUUAUGUGAGUAUGGAUAUGGAUAGGCCGGCAGCACUCCCUUUUAGGUCAGAAGAGUUCCUUUGCAAGAAAACAACCUCUGAUACGACCAAACAUUUCUAAGGAUUCCUACAAAAUGAAAUGAAAUAAUAUCAUGUUAGAAUAUCUGACAGAAGCAGCACUCUUUCAGUUGGAUGCCCUCUUCUUCCUGGCAAGAUAAGAUCCAGAAUGGCCUUUGGUUUGGCUAGGAAAGUACAGCUAGUGCAACGAAGACUGCUAAAGCAGCAGCAAAGAGAGAGGACCGGGAGAGACAAGACACCUCUUAUGCCGGAAAAGGAAGAAAGUGAAGUAGAAAGUGCUAACGCUCCCAUUCCGAAUCCAAGAGAAACCUAAGAGAAUACCAUGCUACCAGCACCGAAUCUAAGGGAAAGCAUUUGAGCAAGAGGAAUGAAAGAAAAGUGGAAAUUUCCUAUUAGCUACCAGCACCGAAUCUAAGGGAAAGCAUUUGAACAAGAGACAGAAUCCAAAUAUUCAAUGCUAGCCGACCCAUCCUCCCAGAUCCGCAUCAGCGAGUGGUGUGACGACGACCAACUUGACAUUGAAAAUCACGAUUGGAAUGUCAUCUUACUCGGUAAAAGAUAGAAGAAGCGGAACGGAUUUCUCUUUUAUAUGAUAGGACUGCUUGCUGCCACUUCCUUAUGACAUUACCUUAUGACAUUACCUUUUAGACAAUCUCCGAUCUACGAAUACCUUGCUUGGGUCAGGAUCUUAUUAUUAGUGGAAAAACAUAGCCCUAGCUAGAUUCACUUAGUGGAAAAACAUAGCCCUAGCUAGAUUCACUUAGUGGAAAAACAUAGCUCUAGCUAGAUUAACUAAGCCGAAUCUCUCUUUUGACUUUCCUUAAAGGAAUUGAUAAGACAUAAGGAAGAGAUGAAACGAGUUAAGAAAGAAGAAGGGUAGAGAAAUGGGAUAACAUAGAGAGUAUGCCUCAUACUGACCUAAUCCGCUUCAAGCUUCGGUGGAGGCCCUCGCCCUCGCUUCGUAGACGUAGACAACAUUCCUUCCCGUGAAAAGAGUUUGUCUCUUUCCUCAGUUUGUUAUAUCUCUUUCCUCAGUUUGUUAUAUAUGAAUGCAUUUGAAACCCCCCCUCCACUUGAAUCUGUUUGGUUCUACAUAUGUUUGGUUCUACCAUGAUACUUUGGUUCCUUGGCAUAAGUCUGCUAUACUGUUACAAUAAAUUGUCACGGGUUCUGAGGCAUGAGUUAGAAUACCUAGACGCUGCAAUAACCUCCUAAACCAAACUGCUUCCUUGCUUUAACCUAAUCUGAAAACUGCUUCCUUGCUUUAACCUAAUCAAUAUCGGGCCGUGUACACAUCAUAGCAUACAUCAGGCUUCUUACAGCGCAGGAAUAGGUGACUCUUUCUUCUCUCUUACGAUCUUGACACCAAGCACAUAGCUAGCAUCACAGUUCUUUUUUUCUCUGGUGUUCUGUAUUUCUCUUUAGUUAUCUAUAAAUUAGUACUAUGAUAUGAUAUCUUUGCUCAAACUCCCUUUGCUUACUCUUUCUCUUCAGCUUCAAUUACAGAGCGCUUCCUGAGACAACGAGGGCGGGGAUCGGUAAGCCCCUUUUUUCUUUAUAGGAUCUCUCUUCAAUGCUUUCCUCUUUUAAAGACAAAUCUUCUAGUAGUGCUAAUUACGCUUUGCAAUUCUACAAAAGGAUUCCUAUUUGCAAUUCGAUAUUGGAAAUGGAAAUAACACAGCAACCACCUAUUUGGGGAUAUUUUAGACGGGAAUAAUGUUGGACUUUUGAGCGCCAGAGAUCCUCCUCCUCUAUAGCAUAAGUAAAAGCAGAAAAGGUAGCGGGCGAAAAGAUACGCGGCAAGGAAAGCUAAGGGAAAAGAAUAGUCAAUUCCUUUUCUUCCUUAAGCAUCUACUGAUCAAUAACGGAAUCUAAGUCACUAAGGGAUUCACUUUUGAAAAAGUCAGAUCGGAUUGAAGCCUACCGGUGGCUUACUCAUAUAAUAGAGAUCUUCAUUUACCAGGUCCUUGAAUCCAAAAGUCAAAGGGUGAAAGAAAGCAAAAGUAUUGAUAUUGACUUUCAAAGAAUAACCACUUCAUUUACUAAAUAUCAUAUCAGAGGGCUAGAAACGGAUUGAUACUGUCUUCUCUUUUCUCGUUUACAUAAAAGCUAGGGCCUUUCUUCAUUCAUGACCGAGUAAUAUGCUUUAAAUAGACUUCGCCGAAUCCCUUUUCAUUACAUACAACCUGACUUUGCUACUUCUGCUACCGUAGCCACAUACAACCUGACUUUGCUACUUCUGCUACCGUAGCCCUUGCUGAUUUACAGGAUUGGCCCCCUUCCGCUUCCCCCAUUGUAAACUCGCUUGCCCCGGCUCAAAGAACUCUCUUUAGGAAUGGACUUCGCUCACUUCAGCCCAAGCAGCCAUUCUGGAUUAAAGGACACAAGCCUGCUAUUCACUCGCUUUCCAGUUGAAAGCCUUAUUAUCUAGUCUUGCCGGUUACACCCUUUCUUGCCAUUUACCAUUCUCCGGGUAUUUCUUCUUUUAGGCUGACGGCUUGGUCAGAUUAGGAUGUUGCUUCUUUAUCCCCUCCGAUCAGGAUCUGCCAACGCCCGAAGUCACUUCACUCUAUAUCUCUGGAACCGAAAGAGGGUAAACCGUGAGCAAACUUUCGAGCUGGGAGAACUAAGGCAUUUCCUUACUAUUAAAGAACUAAGGUGCUGAAAGCCUACUAUUCAUCGUUAUCUCGAACCAAAGAAAGCGGAGUGAUCAUCGUUAUCUCGAACCAAAGAAAGCGGAGUGACAAGAACAUCAAACUGCUGACCAAGUAAAGUCACUUAUGGGCUACUGAUGCCAUCCCUCUGUCUAAUUGUAUUGGCCUCUCGGUGAUAGAUACUAUUCCUGGCUCUUAGCACCUUCCUUCCAUCCUCUUCUCCGACUUCAGCAGAAACAAACCUAAUUAUCUCAUGUCAACAGCGCAUUCGUUCACUCAAGCAUUUGUUAGCUCCAAGUCCAAGAGCCUAUCCGGUACCAGAAGUGUUGGGUUCAUUUGUAUUUCUCUUCUUUAGCUACAGUAGAAUAGCCUAAACAACUCCGUCGAACUACUUCGUUCCAAACAGAAUUCCGAAUUCUUAGACGGAUGAGACUGAUCACACCUCAUCGUUGAAAGAAGGCUUAGACCCUGAAUGGAAAAGGGCACAGUGUUAGAUGGAAAGGAAAGAGCCAGAAAUCAGAGACCCCUCGCUUCCUUCUAACGCCCAUUAUAGGAUAUAGGUCCAAAAAAGGAGUUCGAUGAUCUUUCCUAGAGCUUCCGCUGCUCUUAUUACUGCUUCCCUUCAGCACGGCGUUACAGAAAGCGCUGACUCAAUGGGCCUCAUGCCUGCCUAUAUGUCUUUAUUCCCCCUUAGAUUGGAUAAGGUCUAUAUUCCUGAACUCUCUUUCUAGAUUGGAUAAGGUCUAUAUUCCUGAACUCCCUUUCCAGAGGGUUUAGAUCCGGGAUUUCCUACUAAGGGCUUCCUUCCCGAGUUCGAUGCCUGCAGAGCCUAUGAACAAACACUCUAACUAAGACUAAAGAUGACACUUGGACAUGUGCUUGUGGAAAGGUCUAAGAAAAGGCUGGGUCAAUAGAGGCAAUAGAAACCAUACUUACUCAUCAUGUAAAUAAAGGGCAAAAGUGGACAAUUGACAAACGAGCGGAGCUAUUUACGGUCGAAACGCAUACGGGGAGGUGGGACUCGUUUAAAUGCAAGGACGCUGGGAGGAAACCCUCUUGGAUUCUCGGGCAAAAAAAACACAGAAUGGGGCUUAGUGAAAACGGGCUUCGAGAAGUCGUUCUUAGCAAGAAAAGAAUAGAGAGGGUCGCAGCUCUUAGCCAGGCUUCUAUUCCAUCGGUUUUACGUGGGUCAGAUUCCUACUAUUCAUUGAUUGAGUCCAAAAGAACGGGGUUGGAUGCGAGAUUGGGUGAUUUAGAAUGGAAGUUCAAUCAAAACAGGAUCCUUAUAGUUCAAUCAAAACGGGAUCCUUAUAUGGGCAAGUUGCUUAAAGGUUUCUAUUGUAUUGGUUUUGUUCUUUGUAUGGGAACUCCUAAUUGUUACUCCGGAAAGGACAGACGAAUCUUAAAGAAUGCGUACACGUGAAAAGGCUUACCUUAAGGCACACGUGAAAAAGGCUUACCCCUGAGGCCCUUCCGUUCUUUCUUUCUCCUCUGGUUUUGAGGUCUAGGUGGGUUGGUUUGGCGUAUGAGUCCGGUUCACUUCUUUUUGCUUGCUGGUGGAGAGCUUUCCCUUGUGAAAUCCAACUCAAACUAUACUCAAAGGAAAUCCAUUGACAAUACUUGAUAGGAUCUAGAAUAGUUGCUUCUCUUUCUAGCAAAGAAGGAUCCAGUCUCGCUAACCGCGUAUCCAAAUAAGCCUUCCUUUUGCAUUGACAGCAGUUAUCUAGUUUUCGCGGGUGCGCAAAAUGUCCUUUUGAGAAUUGAGAAUUGCAGGAAAAAGGGUCAACUAAGAAAAUCCAGAAUGGAUGCGAAAUAGGAAGACCACCAAGUCCAAUCCUAAUAGUUAUUUCUUACUCUCCUACAGCAUAAUAGACUUGCGAAUGGAUCCUAUUUGUUCGAGUGGAAAUCCUCUCCCCAUCCAUACUGAUCAAGGUGGGGAACCAAACCACUUAAAGGAAGUAUGUUCUUAGAUGGUGUUUGCAUGUCAAAGGAAUGGUAGUAGUGGGCUGGAUGUUCGGUAAGCGUGUGAGAUGAGACCCGAUCCUUCCACAAAGGACUCCCGUUUCAACAGUGCAUUUUUCCUUUGAUUCUCCGUCACCCGUUCUUCCCGACCACCGCCCGAUGCAGUCUAAACUCAGGUUAUCUCAAUAGACUUCCCAGCUAUUCUAUUCUAGAUAUCUUAUCUAAGAUGAAAACUGACUGUUUGUUUAUCCGAAAGUAUCUGAUGGUCAGGUCAUAGAAAGACAAAAACGUAUCGCCCACUUAAGAAAAUGAGGUCUGAACGGUAGGCUCCGCUGGAGAAACGACCAUAGCUGCACGGAGUUAGUUGACUGAUUUAGGUAUCAUGAUAGCUUGUUAGCGAUUACACUAUCCCCGGAAUAGCUUUCACUUCAUUGUUAAAGCUAUUGAACAUAGGUGGAGUUCAUACAGAAAAUGCUGUGUACUAUGAAAGAAAAACCACCAAUUCCUUUGAGGCUACUAACACUACCGAAGCAGGCUUGUUGGUUACUGGUUUUGGUAUUGAAAACAUAUAAAGGCUUUCAGCACCUUGCUUCUAGUUUCGCCGGUACCCUCGAGACAGCUUUCCCUAAAAGGACCGGAUUCAAGACAUUCGAUCUCAUACCCACUACAAUAAAUGAAAGUAUACUCGUAGCAAGGAACUCUUUCUUUAUUACUUUAGGUGGAAACUCUCUGAAGUUGGUUCUUUCUUCUCUUUAUUUAUAGUUUCAACUCAUUCCUGGUUGGUUCUUUCUUCUCUUUAUAGUUUCACUCAUUCCUGCCGCUCCGUUUAAGAAGUUUCGGCUCUAUGGCACUUGUUCUCCUUCUAUAGAUCGAGAUGCUUUUGUGGAUUGGAUGCUUUUCUUUUCCGUUGAAUAACAAAACAAAUGGUCGAUGUGGCUUUAUUAUCUUAGGUAGAAAGAAAGGGCUAUCUUUUGCCUAACUGUGAUAGGAGGCUCUGGAAAGACAACAAUACAAGCUGCUUUACUUAUCGGAUAGCUACUGACUUGCGUAUAGAGAAAUGGAACCGUAUUUAACUUAAUCCAAAGGUGGACUCAUACAUACUAUGGCUUUAUGAACUUAAUAAAUGAAUAUGUUACGAUUGAAGAAUACCGUAAUGGGAAGAAUACCUUAAUUGAGAAUAUAAUAGCGGCACCGAGAAACUGUGACUUGAACUGCAAAAAGGAAAAGACCCCAAUCUUCGAGAAAGCGAAACUCAAAUGACAUCCAACCCUAGAAAAAGCCGAGUAACCGCUUACCACCUAUACCUUGAAGCCUGCUACUGAGAAAGUGGCUGUCCUAAGGGUUAAUUAGCUCCUACCGCUCGAACACCAAACUAAGGACUCGGUUAUAGUUGCAGUGCCUACUUUUAGGAAUACAGUGCCCUUAAGUAAUUGAACCCGCCUUGUCAUUAUUCCAUAAUGCCUUCCUUCUUCUUUAGACGUGUGAAAGAAAGCGCCUUUUUGAACUCCGAACCGUGAUACCGAAAAAUCCACUCAUUCGGACAAUGUCCCAAGACAUCUUCGAUCUAUCGAGCUACUAGUCGAUCAACGAUAACAACACUUUCCCACUUGUUUGUUCUGGUGGCAUAUUACAUUGCUUUCUAUUUCCCAGAAAUCUAUUACUUCGUUGUUCGGUGGUCAUUCUUGUCGAGUUUGUCCAGUUGUACGUAAGGAUCUUAUUUGAGCCCAUACUUGUUUCGUUACCCGGAGUCUUGCUUUCACCCUUCGAAGAUUCGAUUUGGCCAUUUCUCAAUUGACCGAGUUGCUGCUACUACUUUUACUAUGACCGUUUGGAUUGUUGCUUUCUUGGUGUUUUACGGAAAUAAUUGUUAUAAUAUAAGGAGUUAUUGAAGUGAGUUAGUUUGGAGAAGAACGGUUUCAUUGUGUUCGUGAAGAUAAGAUAGUAGAGAUCACUAGACCUAGAGCAAGAAUGGGAUGUUACGCCAAUGAGCCGAGCCCUCUAGGAGUAGGACGCCCUUUGCUGGUGCCCGGGUCCCCUAUAGUCUCAGGAGAGAUUAUACAAAGGCCACUAACCCAGGUCCCCUAUAGUCUCAGGAGAGAUGAGAAAAGGCAAACUCGCAAGUCACCUUGUCUCGUAUCCAUCAGAAAACCGGGUUCCCUGUAAGCAAAGAACAAAGGUAGAUGAUAAGUUUACUUGAAAGAACAAAGGUAGAUGAUAAGUUUACUUGAAAAGCCAUAGAGUAAGUAAGGUGACUUUCCAAUUGACUUGAAAAGCCAUAGAGUAAGUAAGGUGACUUUCCAAGAAUAUGUCUCCUUGACUUGCUCAUAACUGUUACUAUUAACUCUGACUAUAUAGUUAGUUGAGCUCCCUUAAACAUAGGACUAUUUCCAGUUUCUCUCUGUGUUUGUUGGUGACAAGAGAGAAAGAUCAUCGGCAAAAGAACGAUCUGAAGCUGUUACUAGUCAAUUCCAUUCUUCACUUUCAGAGGUCAAUUCCAUUCUUCACUUUCCGCUCUUGACGUCGAGUUCGGGGAAGCAUAUUCCUAUUUAGAAGGAACAGGAACAGACAGAAAUAUAAGUCCGCGAGGGUAUAUAUAACAACCUAGUAAUCCAUAAGAGAGGUCCGGUGGGCAAUAGAAGUAGUAGAAUAAGGAGCAGGUAGGCAGAAGAUACGGCAUCAGGUGAGCGAGCUAUAUCCUGAGUGGGUAAAGAAUAAGUAUUUGGAGCCCCCUUUCUUGCAAUUGAGUCCGGGUCGGAAAGCUUCAAGUAAGGGCAGAGGAAAGGCUAGGCUGCCUAGCAGAGUUAUUAAGGUAAGGAGUCAGCAAUAAAAGGAGUCAGCAAUAAGUGAGUAAGUAGUUGAUUGACUAUUCUCUAUUAGUGGUAGAUAACUCUCUUCACAAUCAGCUAGCUAUAUAGAAGGAGUUAUAGGUCAAACAAAUAAUUCAUGGAAUCUUUCUUGCGCUACUCAUGAAUGGAAAUUGGAAACUCCAACUCGUUACACCUAUUCCUCUAAUGUGAAAGACUGAUAUUGUAGGGCGAUGAGAGAGGUUCUGAUUGUGUUGUGGUCGGUGCUUGUCUACGAGAAUUGCCUUAUUGACAGCUUUUGACUGGAAAACGAAGUUAUUGAAUUGAACGGAGUGCACCUAGGAAGAGCGCUACCAUAAAGGAUUCCAGUAUCAAAUCAUUUAAAGAACAGAUGGGGGCCCGUGCGUGUCAUUUGCCCCAUAAGAUUUGUUGACGAGAGUUAGCAAAAGUAGUAUACUAUUUCUUGGCUUUGCCCUUAACCGAGCGCAUUUAUUGAGUUGGGGGGGCUAGUUCCAGUCUUAACCUGGAAUUUCAUCCACUUUCUAGCGCUGAAGCAUAAGAGGGAUUCGAAGAUGGAUCUGAUUCAAAAGAUAGGGAAGCUAUGUCUCCACUUCUUUAUAUGCUAUGAUAGAAGGAAUAGGGUCCAACUUCGUGCUUUUAGAUGAAAGUCAGAGAAAAGUGUCCCGCCCCCCGAGUGCUCUAAACGCCAAAUACUGAAUGGAACUUGCAAAUACAAGAUAAAGGAAUGGAAGAAGAAAUACGAUACGGAACAACAAACUCUUACAGUAGCGCCGAGAAAGCCAUAUCCGGAGUUGGAGAAUAAUAGGGAAAAGAGACUAUUUCCAGAGGAGAAGAUACUAUAUCAGGUGAGUUGGUAAAGAAUAUAUAUAGAGUUGGCGUAGGAACAAGAACUCGAUAAGAAUCAUACUUAGUUGUCAAGAAAUGCAGCAGUAUUAGAAGCUGGUAAAGAGGAGGCAAAAGUGAGCUUAGAAGUAGCGAACAGGAACUAAACUCUACUACUUUGAGCGGGCCGGGCCGGGCAUUGACUUAUCGCUUGCUGCUGAGGAAACUAAUACGGAUUUGCUUUUCUCUCUCCAUAACUACACUUUUCUCGCACAGCUAAAGCUUAUUAUACCGCUGAUGAUACUUAUUCAUAAGAUCUGGAUCCUGCAGAAUCGACAACAACACUUGUUUCUGGUGCCGAGUCUCUUGAAACCGGUGUUUGAGGGUUUGUCUUGUUAGUUCAGAAUCAUAAAUACGAGUAGGGGUUUCAUCCCGUAGUUAAUCCGUAUAAUAUCUGUGCUUGUUGGCUCAAGUGCCCUGCAAUACGAGUAUAAUCUCUGUGCUUGUUGGCUCAAGUGCCCUGCAAUACGAGGUAAGGUCGGCAGUAGUAAAAGAAUGGUUUGCUCGAUGAACAAAAAGGGCGGCUCCCGGGUUGGUUUUUCCCAUCAACUAAAGAGCAAGGCUAUCAGGCCUAUUACGAAAAUGUCUUUCUCAAGAGCAAGAGCUAACACAACUCUUUUCUUUUUUUGUACUUCCCACGGUAAAGCGAAACGAUUACCCGAGACACUACACUAGCUCUUAAAAUGUUUUAGUCGUUUAUGAUCGAAGCGGAUUCUCUCUUCUGGAACCAUACAAUCUGGCUUGACUUGGAUAGCGUCAUGAACCGAGCAAAGGAUAUAGCAAAGGAAACACUUGCAUCUGGCUGAGGACUAAAUAUAGGAGCUCGCCUUGCAUACAAGGGGAAAAGAUGGAAUCUGGUAAAAAGAAAGUUCCGUGCCUAUAGUCAUUCCUUUAUCCAGUUCCGUGCCUAUAGUCAUUCCUUUCUAUGGUAGCAAUCUGGUCUCCAGUCGGUGGAGGAAGUAAGGCUUAGCAGUCCUAUCAGUGCCCUUAUGCACAGAAACAGUUGGAGUCAAGGCAGUCUGUGGUUUCUAAGGCCUAUAGGCCGGUCCUGUCAUUUCGUAUAGAUUUAUAGAAAGGGAGCGCCUUUAAGGCUUUCAGCACCUUCUCUCCUCCCCAACGCCGCUAUCUGUCAUCAAUUCCUUCUCUCCUCCCCAACGCCACUAUCUGUCCAAGGGGAAAAGCAAACUCAAGGGUACCAACGCAAGCUUCCGUUUUCAAGUUAGUUAUGAAUCCGAUGUGAGAUGCCUCGCCUAGCUUGAUUAAUAGCCGCCCGGGCCCAUGUUCUCAGUGCAAUGCAACGUGUGAAAUGACUUAGUCAAGAGAUCGUAGGAUACCGGCAAAGGCAGAAGGUGGAUACUCGUUGUUUUGAUUUCGCAGGUGGAUACUCGUUGUUUUGAUUUCGCAAUUCUAUUAUAUCAUAAGGGGUUGAAACACGAAAAUGAAGGUGCGAAGUUUCGAACAUGGUUGUUAUAAAGUUCCCUAUCUCUGCUAUUAUAGAAUAAGAAAGGAAAGAUAAAGAUAAUAAGAAAGGAAAGAGAAAGGCAGCACAUAUGAAUCUGACUCAAGUGGUCAUCGAGAAGAAGUCGAUUCGCUGAAGCAUAAACAGAGAAGGUAGUUUAGUUAACCCGGGCCAGGCCAGCCCUUAGCAUCUAAAGAAUGCGCUCUUCUCAAGCUUUUCAAAAAGGGGUGUGUGUUGGUUUGGGCAAUGGAAGGCACGAAUCAAACUAUCUAUCUUUAGCAUACGGGAAUCGAGCAGACAUGAUCAAUAAUGAUUCAGAGGACAAGGGCAGCUUGUUCUACCUUCGGGAUAAACGCUCUUUUCAUGGGUUUUUUCUUUGACAGUCUUACUGGAUUUUUAGUUGAUGGGGCAAGGCUUAGCAAAUAAAUAAGCUUGUGUCGGAAGAGAAGUAAGUAGAAAACAAAGCUGUUCGCGGAACCUGAUUGCCCUAAGUCGGAGUCAGAAUAAGGUUUAGGCUGGAAGACAAGCAACAGAUAUCUCGGAUGUUGCCAUUGCCAGGAGCAUGGAUGCCAAGAAUGCCCUCAGUCUAUGUCUUUCUAUAUAGGCUUUAAGGAAGCAAGUAAGCAUUAAAGAGGGGCUUUGUUGGACCUUCCGACCGACUGAAGGAUCUUUUCCGUCUUUCGAGAUGCGAAUAGAUUGACUAUUGGGAUAACGAAGAUAUGACCAUAUUAAAGAUCUCAUUUAUUCAUUUCAUAGAGAAAAGGAUUAGCUGCUUUCUGAAAAUGAUAGAGAGAGAACAGCGCUACCGCCAUGAAUACUUGACUCGCUCAUAACAGAAUUAGAACAUAUUAUUUGGAGUCUUGCAUUUGUAGGAGUUGCUUGGCCCUUUGUAGUAGUUGCUUGGUGGCUUUCAGCACCUUUAUUUUCAUGGAGCUCUUUAGAUAGGUAGAGGAAAGACGUAACUAGACGACCGCGCAGAAAGAGACGUAACUAGACGACCGCGCAGAAAGAAGAAUCUCUUUUAUAGCUUCCGAUUGCUAUGGAGAUUCCUAUGGUUUCUCUAGUUUCUCAGACUAUUAUGGAUAUUCCCCCAGAUGCGAGUUACAGCCUUGUAACCAAGGGUCCCUUACUUCACUUCAUGGAUCUUUAAGAAGUUCAAGAAGAAAGCUACGGGCAUAUACCCCAGCCGCGGGGGAACAAGUGCCACCUAAACAGCUAGAUUAUCUAUCUAUAAGCCUCGCAAACCCUUCCUUUGUAAAGGACCUUUCCCGCUUUCCUUACUUUCCUUCCUUGGCUAGUUCAAAAAACGCUUUUUCCAUUGUUCUGAUAAUAAGAUUAAUCAGAAUUGUCGCUUGGAAUAAUAGGCUUUGAAACAGAAAGGAGGUAGAGAAGCUCUGAGAUGGAAAGGAGGGAAGCUCUAAGUUAGGUAGUUAGGAGCGAAGGUAGUACGAGGCAGAGCCAAGACUCAUCUCAUGUGGAAUCAUCAAUACUUAAAGGAUAGAGUCAAACUCUUGGCAGGUCGGGGGGCAAGCUUGACUUUCACUUCGGGAAUAAUCAAUCUAGCUUUUUGAAUGGGGCGAGCGGUUCUCGGGCGAAUUCCUUCUAUUGGUCUUAUACUAUGGGUGGAUACAGACUCAGAGUGAGGACCCGUGCCAGCAACUCCUGUAAGCGCAAAUCAUUUAGGAGAAGUCAAAGCAUAACCCUGACAAGACAAGUGGUUAGGGCUUUCUUCAACUUACAGAGCGGAUCUAUACUCUUUACCUCGAAACUAGGAAUUUCACUUACUGAAACCAAAAGUGUUUUUUUCUCAAUGGAUAAUAUGGAUCUCGCACCAGCAAUAGAAUAAUUGAAGUACCCCGCUGCGCUGCCCCCUACUGAGGAUACAGCUACAUCACUUGGCUGCGCUGCCCCCUACUGAGGAUACAGCUACAUCACUUGCAACUUCAAUAAGUCCAGUGGAGAAUGUGCUUUCUUGUCUUCUCUCUUAGGGCGCAAUUCCAGAAGGAUAGACAGACCGACCGACCAUCUUCAAACCGACCAUCUUCAAUUUGAUCUAGAAUAAUAAAGAUCUGCAUAAUCAGGAUCAGAAAAAGAGGUCUUAUAGCUUCGAAAGAACACCGACUGCUGUAUAAACAAGGGAAUAAUACGCAAGGAGAGAAAGAUGUAAUGUUGCAAUGCGAGUUGACUCUAAACCAGAAAAAAGGGGAGUUCUGGGCUUGACGUCUACAGGUUAGAGUGUCGGUGCGAGUUGAGUACUUAAUUGAGGCGCUAAUGGAGUUUCCGCUUGAUCACAUUCCUUUUCUUUAUAGGCGAUAGGCGUGUGAGGGUGAUUCAAUUCGUAUGUUCGCUGUCGCGGCAGGAGCUACUGUUACGUGUUCUUUAAAUUCCAGUUUUCGUUCCUUUGUUCGUCCUCCCGUUCUCUCAUAUUAUUUAGUAGGUCCCUUGGUCAACAAUGCUAGACAAGCAGCAUAUAGGUUAUUUAUUCAUUGCAGCAUAUAGGUUAUUUUAUUCAUUGUUCAUUAUGAAACAAACUUUCUUGUUAAUUAUGGGGCGGUCUUUUACCUUACCAGAUUCAUUUGAGCGCCCAUAGCUAUUCAAUUUGGCCUCUUUCCUUUAUUCAGAUCUCUCCCUCCUAAUGUAACUAUCAAGAAUUUGUGUGGAUAGCUCGCAUAAAGAAAAAGGGGAAGGACACUGCUCUUACAGAAAAAGGGGAAGGACACUGCUCAUAAAGAAAGGGAAGGUACUGGCACUCAUAAAGAAAGGGAAGGUACUGGCACAGCUCUUAAAUAACUAACCGCUUUUAUAUAACUUACAGCUCUUAUCUCACUUAAAGCUCUUACAUAACUUACAGCUCUUCCAAAUUCUUCUUUGUGUAAAGGGUCAUAAAAAGAGUCUAGCCCACCCACCCCAGCAGUCAAGUACUAGUGCUAUCAAUUCCUACAGCUCAGGGUCAAUUGUGUAUCGAACCUGCAUACAGAUGUUUAUCAUAACAGCGUUAAGGAAAGAUGCGGGCUUAUUCUCUAUUCUAUGCUCUCCUCUCUUUUUCCAAUAAAGAAGGAGGGGACCCCUUUUCAAAGCCAUUUCUCAUGAAUGGUGGGUAUGAUUCUAUAACCGGUUUUUCCUUUCAUUCAAGGCUCGACAACGAUUGGAAUAGUGUUUCUUCUUUAUUGAUCUGUCUGAUGGAGACCAUUUAGAAUCCUAUUAGUAAACAGGAGCAUAUCCAACCUUUUGAAGCGGCGGGUCCUUCUUGAUUUGAUUUAUACUUGUGUUAUUUAUACUUGAUUGGAUUGAUAUUUGCUAGCUCUUGAGCUUUCCUAACCCCAUCUAUCUUUCUUCUUCUCUGGAUAAGGUUUAGUGUAAGGCCCCUUUUGACAUUCAAGAUAUACUGACGCAAACCUCUCGGGAUUUUAUGCAUAUCCUGAUUACCCUCCCACAACCGAAAAGGUAGAAAACCAUGUCUACUUUGCCUUUAUAGCAAUUCCUUUCUAGCUAUGCCUUUCUGGGGUUAUUGUCCAAGCGACUCUAUAUUUGAUAUGUUUUGGCCGCUCCAAGAUCAAAGGAAUUAGCAUGUUCUGGACUGCUUACUUCCAGAGAUUACACGAGUGUGUUCUCGCUUCUUCGAUAGCGCCCCCAUUCGAAGUAUUUCCACGAUCUUUUGUAGUCUUCAAUCCUUAUUUGUUGGUGUUUAGGAAGGGUUAAUGGCUUAUUAAUCUAUGAAGUCUAUAGGGUUAAUGGCUUAUUAAUCUAUGAAGUCUAUAUUCUCCCGAUCAUAGGUGAUAGAGACCCAUAAGAUAGGCAAAUGAUAGAAACCUAUAAGAUAUAAGGAAGAAAGAACGUAAAAGAUAUGACUUUAGAAAGCUCUGGAGGCAGAUUCUAUUGGCCUUUCAUUAAGCCUCCUUUAAUUAAGCGCUUUCCUACUCUUAUUUGUAUUUGAUAUUAGGCCACUUCCUGCAUAUUGAUUAUUCUAGGAUGAACGAACUCCUUACAUUCGAGUAUUUACCUCCUAUUGCAAUUGCUCUUGAAAACCUCUGCCUUGAGUCCUCGAAUACCUGCACCUAUUAUCAUGUACCGGUCGUUAAACCACACUGUAGAUAAUGCUUUUGCCAUAAAGAAAUCUCUAUUAAUAUUAGCAUCACUCGAAACUCACUAACGGAAGAAACAAGCAAACAACGAACUCCUAUCCGACACAAGAGCACAUGAUAGGCAAUAGGGACCGGGCACCCACACCUAUUAUACCUCCUCAGGCGAGGCACCCACAGUCGACCCCGUAACUACAAACAUGAUAAACAAUAGGCACCCCUGCCCCAGUUUGGAGCACAUUUGUAGCACACUGGCUUUGGCAUGAAAGUGUAUGUAUUCGUUGUGAUGCGGCUCCUCGACACUAUGCAAGCUACGGCAACUUUCAAGCUUUGUUUGCUCAGAGAAUUAAUACCUGAGUGACUUGGCCGUUGUUUCACCUCUUUUAAACGGAGCCCGCAAUGUAGCAGUAAAGAAUUGGAACUCUAUGACAACACUCGCACCCUCAGAUAUGAGUAAUCAGUACCAAGCAACACCCUAUACUUUCGAUCCCUUGUUUCGUUCCCUUGUUUGUUCUCCUUACUUUUAGAGUUGAUAUCCGCACAGCUGCGUUAAUUUGCUUGUUUGCUUGCUUCCCUUGCCUGUUAAGCUACCCACCCGGGGUAAGAGAGUAGUUGAUGCUUUUGUUGAAUAAAGAGAAUCUUGAUAGACUAAUAUAGAAUAGAGUACUUGCAUUAUAGACUAAUAUAGAAUAGAGUAAAGGCAUUGAAGCGUGGUGUGGGUUUACUUUCAAUGGGGAGAGGUUCUAUGAUAGGCUUUCCCUUGACUUUAUGAGUAGUGGUCCAAAGAAUGGCGCUCGCCUUAGGAGUUGAGUUAGAAGCAUUAUAUAGCUCGGCAAGAAAGAUUGAAUGAUUUGUUGAGUUCUGGUUUUCGGCUAACGUGCGUGUGGGUUAUUUGGAGUUUCAAACAAGGAAGGUCUAUAUGAACUCAAUUAAGUACUUAGCGCACCCAUAAUCUACCUCAAUCCUCUGAAAGUCAACUACUGAAGUCUUGUAUAAAGGUUCAAGCUAAAAGUCCGGGUAUCCUGAAUCAGCUGUUUCUGUUUUCACAUCAGAAUACGUUUUUUAAAGAAGCAACGUUAAGGGUAGGAAUAUUCAGGUAAUUAGAUAAGGGAAGGUAUCAUAUAAAUAUGGAUCUAAAGAAUAAGCAAGAUCGUCGGCAUAAGCAAGAUCAGAGGAUCAUCAGAAAGAGCAGAAGCUGAAUCAAAAGAGAAAUCAUAAGCCAAAGAAUCCGCUGUGGUGUCAAAGCGGUCAGCUGCCAGUGAAUAAGUCAAAGCCAGUGGUAAGCGGGACCAGACGGAAAGUUGUUGAAUUCGUCUUUGUUAUCCACGAGAGAGGCAAUCAACCAACAUAGAGUUUUCAAGAGAACGAGCAAGCAAGGCCAAAUAGUAAUAAAACAACCCCUUUUUGCGUCGUUUAACCAUAUGCCGCCGUUCAACGGAGCUCAUAUGAUAUGGCUAAUCUCACUUAUGGAAAAACUCCCCACUACGCUCCUAACGCGCACUACACUACGUUGCUUGUUCUGUCCUUUUCAUGCAUUUUUCCAUAGAGAUUAAUUAAGAUAGACCUCUUCCUAGAUAUUAAGAUGGACCUCCAUCUUCCUAGGUGCCAAUCAAUUGAAUUCUACUAUGGGGGUGCUAACGCGAGUUGUUGUUGCAGGAUGUUUUGUUACUAUCUUCGAGUUGUUGUUGCAGGAUGUUUUGUUACUCUCUUAUAAAAUAUGUCAGUUAUUAGCUUUUCUUCAGUUGAGCAUGAUAGGUGCACUCAAUUCCAUGAUUUUCUUCAGUGUUGUGAGUUUGUAGAGUAAUGGAGUCUUAAGUUAGGUUAAUCCCUUACAUGAGUUGUGCACUCACAUUCAAGAAGCCCUGAAACAUACAAAUGUAAGCUAAGGUUCCCCGAUAAGUCAUUUCUGUUUUAAAGCAAAGUGAUUAUAUUCAUUUAUUAUAGAGAUUAUCUUAUAUUCAUUUAUUAUAGAGAUUAUGAGUUAGAUUCUUGGAAAUGGAAUUCCACAAAACAAGUCAGAAGUGAGUUUCCGGGGAACAAGUAAGAACAAGAGAAGAACUGACAUCGGCCCACCCGAAGAAGAGUUAGGUAGUGAGUAAGCUGUUAGGUACCACAAACAAGGCAACAUAGAAUAGAGGAAGUAGUGAGUAAGCAGAACAAGCAACAAAGUCAGGGCAGUGAACUAGAAGCGCGAGGCCAGAAAAGAGUACGACACAGUAACGAGUUAGUCAGGAUGCCAAUAAAUCCGAUUUGCUUAAAGCAACGGAAAAAGAAGUAAGCUGUUUUGUGAAAACUCAGAAUUCAGUAAGCAGUGUUGUUACAACUAUGACAUUAUAGGGGGAGAAUAAGCAACGGAGCAAGCAGUAAGUAAUGUUCAAGCUUAGAGCCAGCAGUACAGUAAUAGGUGAGCUUUUUAGUUUCGUUAGUUUCUCAGAGGAACCAAACUACUAAUAAUGCACAAGUAGGGAUAGCAGUGCCUCUCUCUGCCUAUGUCCUUUACAGUGCCUCUUACCUAUGUCCUUUACUUUGUAUGGGGUUCGGCUGCCUCAAGUAGAUUCAAUUAGGCUUCAAUUCCCCGGGGCUCCUUAGCUUUGAACUCGCUGACGCUAGAACUCAGGCUCCCGAAAGCUGGAAUUGUCAUAACUCUGCGCUACUAACUACUAAGCUUGGCGGUUAUAACAAGAGGAACUCUAGCAGCCCUGCCGCUACACUGACUACGUUACUUGGCGGACUUGGUCAUAACUCUAGGAUACAGGACUUUCUAAUUCUCCGGAUCUGAAAUCCACUGCUGGCUCAACAAAACUUCAUUGAAUCUUGUUUGCGCAGAGAGAAUAGGGGAGGAAUAAUACCCGAAUCUAUACCUUAUCCCUUUUCUAUACCCUUAGAGUCACAUACUUUCCCUUAGAGUCACUGACUUUUGUACCGAUCCUGCUCUAGCUGAUCCAGAUGUAUCUUCUGCUAUUGUUUAGUUGACUUUACGGGGUGCACGAAAAGGGACAAGCAUAUACUACUGAAGAAUGGAAAACAAACAUAUUAAUUGAUGGGGUCUUACCAUCCGAGGAUAGAAGAAGAUUACCCAUUCCCAGUGUUUUACCCAGUCCGUCCCAGUUAAAGUUCUCAUGGAAAGCAAGAGAAAGAUGAGGAAGAAAGAGCAGUUCAUCGAUUAUUCUUAGACAGCUAAUCAACUGGCUUUCCCUACUUCCGCUUCCACCUCCGACGCUGGCAACCUUACUUGAAAGUAGGAUCUAUUUGAAUCCAGCGCUUAAUAAACCUCUGUUCCCCGAGACUGCCUGGCUUUCUCCGACCUCUAUUCCCCCUGGCUUCACCGAGACAGCCUUAUGGUUAUGGAUGGAACCGGCCUUGCUAGCAAUAAAAAGGCUUUCAGCACCCGAACACAUAGUCAGUAGGCAAACAACCAACUACUAGACCUCUUGCUCUUUGAACUCAGGCUCAUCUAACUCUGGCUACAAUUCAUUGAACCCUGAAAGUUGUAGUUACUCGUCUGCUUGUCCCUUCGUCGGAGUUCCCUGUUAAGUAGGUGAGUCCUGUAAGUGGGAGCUCAACUCCUAUAAGUAGUGCUUUUCUCCAGUUAAUGCCUAGCUCCAUUAUGGAUUCUUGUAUCAUUACUUGUUAUCACUAGUUCGAUUCGAUUCCGGUAGACGCUAUAUCUAGGCUAUGCCCCCAUGGAUAAAGAAUCAAAGCAAGGGUCGUUGGAGGUUUGCUGUUCUAUUCUUAUAGUUUGUAAUUGAAGAAUACACAUAUAGUAGAGCAGGAUCCGAAUCAGUGUUUAAAGAAAGCAACGACUACAAGUUAACAGUAUAAGAAUCAUAGGUGUAAAUAAGGAAUUUCGUUAUGACCUGUUUUUUCAUUAUCAACAGGAGUUUUCGAGUGAAAGAAGGAAGUGUCGAACUGAGAUAAAGGAUAGUACAAGUGAAAGCAAGGAGCGUAGGGCUGCCCUAUUGGGGGAAGUGAACAAGGCUAAAAGGCACAAGAUCGGAAGGCUCAAACUAAUACUAGUAAGAGGGCCUAAGACCGAAAGAGGGGAUUGUUAGAGUUGGAUUACCAGUUGAGAGUUUGAUCAACCCCCGCCGCUGAGGCAUUCUUAUACUUGCUUGCUCCAUUCCUGUUAGUAGUGUUUGGAUCCUUACUUUGAUGUUUGGCUCCUUGUUUUGUUUUUGUACUUGCUAGCUGUAUUCCGAAGCUUUCAAUACACGCCCACCCGAACUAAAAGAAAGACCGAUAAGAAGACUGGCAAUAGGACCAGUAAAUAAAGAAGAGUUGUUCCAGGUAUAAGGAUGCGCCUAAGGAAUACAAGAUACUGGUCUCGAGCUACAAGACAAUUUAUAUCAGGCGACGAGACCGCUUUGAACGAUACAAAGAAUAGAAUCCGGGCUUAACAGGACAGGACUGAAAUAAGAAAAAGGGAAUUGAGCUCUAGAGUCAGAAAUGAGCUACUUAUUUGGAUUAUUUAGAUACCGAUUCGGAUCCUGCUAGGUUUAGUCUUUCUCUCCUUCCCUUAAGUCUGCUAGGUUUAGUCUUUCUCUCCUUCCCUUAAGUCUGCUUUUCGCCCGGCUUCUCCUUUAUAUAAUUAUGACUUUACUUACUAUAGGGCUUAGACUCCCUACUUCUGUUAUGUAUUUCACCUUUGGAUUCUUAUACUGUUAACUCGAAAACUGACAACCUUCUACUCAUGCGUUACUCCUGUCAGUUAGUAACAAAGAACUCACUAGCUAUAAGUAAGUCUGUUACUACUAUCUUAGAGUCUUCCAUUACUUUAUCUAAUCCUUCAAUUGCUUAGGUUAUUUCUGUAUGACACCUUUCAGUAUGAAACUAAUGCCCUCAAUACCGAGUGAGAGGUAGCCCUACCUUAGCCAUAGAGUCUGUCUUUAAGCUAUUCUUCUUACGAAAAUGGUUUUCGCUCUUGUAGUUGUCCCUGCAAUGCCUAUAGCUGUCCCUGCAAUGCCUAUGUUGUUCCAGUUAGAAGCUACCCGUAUGAGAAGUAUAAGCACGGGUUCCAUUAUUGAUAGCUGCGGUUCGAGCCUUGUUAUCAUUAUAGGAGGAAUAAUAGGAAGCAAAGGGCCAAAAAAAGAAAGGUGCUGAAAGCCUAAAGUAUUAUAAGGCACCCAAACUGUUCUUUUAUAAUAGCUGGUAGCUGGAUGCGCUGGACACCACACCACUGGAGUUGUAGAAUGAAAGCAAGGUGAGGCAGGCCGGUAUAGGAGCAGACUCCACAGGGCAUUGAGGUAAGUUUGGUAAGGUCAGUUUUCAGAGUGAAAAGGGAAAGUAGGAGGCUAGAUGAUACUCCUCCAGGGAAUAAGAAGAUCAGUCUGGUUACUAUACUAAGAUCCGGGAGUAGGAGACCAAAGGCUAAUAGGUUAUUGAGUAAUGGAGUUUGAGUUUCAUCUGAUAGUGAGACAAUUGAAUUAGAAUCAAAGAGUUGUUGUAGUAGCUGUCUCUCAGGGUAGUAGUCGCUGUCUAUCCAGGUAGUAGUGAAGUCAUAGUUCCGAGCUCAAUUCUGCAAUGGUUCCCACACCUCUAAGGUAUUUCCUCUUUGUUGAAAUUAUUAUAGGUAUGAGUUGGAUUCCCAAAACACAUAAGAAGUUAUAUAUCCUUAGAACUACCCCCCUUCUUUCGCUUACCCUUAUAUGGCAAAAGUCAGGAUUGAAUUCCAUCCACUUAUUCCUUGAGCAAGUAAACUCGAACAGGCAAUUAUGCGUCAUCAGAUCCAGCAUCUUCUGAUGUAUACUUUUCUCUUGCUCCAUAUUAUCCUUAUUUCUUCGUCUGCGCUAAAUGGAAGGAGCUCCUCAAUUCCUAUAUUAGAUGAAAAGGAUAGAGAUGAUUUUCUUUGAACAACAGAGCCAUCAAAGGAACCAGCAAGCAAAGCGGGAACAAGAGAAGUUGAGUAAGCUGUAUCCGGAAUGGGAGUAGUUAAAGAAUAUAGAGUUGGUCGCAGGAAAAGAAUCCGGAUUAGAAGCUGUCCUAAAGGAAGCUGAAACCAAUGUAUAUAAUUCUGUAACAGGGAGAAUCAGAGGCUAAAGAAGCAGAAGACUCAUAAGCUGUGCUAGGAAAGUGUGUUUCUGUUCGAAAGGGAAGUGAGGGUGUUGAAGUUAAGCUUCCGUUUCAGUGUAAUAAUGAUUUGUUGA
rnacentral:lncRNA from 1 species